rnacentral:lncRNA from 1 species
AUACAUACUCAUAAGUUGUUUUCGAUGAUGAAUCUUCCGAACCUACGAUCCACUCCGUUAAAUAUGAUCUAGAAUAUUUGAAACUUCUAGAGAAUAAAUUUCGUAAUUUUUCGAACUCAUAAUAAAGUCCAUCAAGCGGGCAUAUAUAAAAUGAACGGUCAAAAACGAACGACGUCCUAAAAUUGGAUGAUAGUAUCCUUCAAUUUAAGAUCGAAGUUAUUGGUCUUUAUCUAGGUAGUGAAUAGAAUUUUCUAUCAAAAAUUCAACUUAUUCCGAUUCUUUUCCACCGUUAAACUAGCAAGUAUCACAUACCGGCCGUUAAAAAUUGUCAAUUUUGUGAGCUUUUAAUCGUAAGGUAAAUAAUGUCGAAAAAUUAUGAAAUUUAAUUUCUAGAAGUUUUAAAUUCUCUAAAAAAUGUUUAACGGUAUGGAUCGUCGAUUCAGAAGUUUUAUCAUCGAAAACAACUUAUGAGUACGAAGGCGAUCGUACUCAUAAGAGUAUAGUAGCCGGACUCUCUCUCUCUCUCUCUCUCUCUAUAUAUAUAUAUAUAUAUAUAUAUAUAUAGUCCGGCUGGGAUACUAUCGAUAGCACAAAGCAUUUGGUGCUACCAAGUUUUCUACCGUUAGAUUUAUCUCUUUUAUUAUUUUCAACCAUUAGAUUAUACUAUUCAACCAACCACCCACUCAACCCUAGGGGGCCCACAUCAUCCUAACCGCACAUCUUUUAAUCCAAUUAAUGGUAGAAAACUUAAUAGUACCAAGUCAUUGGUACUAUUAAUAAUAUUCCAGCCUAGUUCUAUAUAUAUAUAUAGAGUCCGGCUGGGAUACUUUCGAUAACACGAGGUAUUUGGUGUUAUCAAGUUUUCUGCCGUUAGAUUUACCUCUUUUAUCAUUUUUAACCGUUCGAUUAUACUAUUCAACUAACCACCCACUCAACCCUAGAGGGCCCACAUCAUCCUAACCACACUUCUUUUAAUCCAAAGGUAGAAAACUUAAUAGCACAAAGUCAUUGGUGCUAUAUAGAGUUCAGCUAUGGUGCUUGUAAAAGCUCCAAGCACUUGGUGCUUGUGAGUUUUUUACCGUUAGAUCUACUCUUCGGAUCAUGUUCAACCAUUAGAUUAUACUAUUCAACCAACUACUCACUCAACCCUAGGGGGCCCACAUCAUCCUAACUACAUAUCUCUUAAUCCAAUGGCUAAAAACCUACAAGCACUAAUGUAUUGGUACUUUUAAAAGCAUAGGAGCUCAAUUCUAUAUAUAUAUAUUUCUGAUAUCGGUUUGCGGAAUUAACAUAUAUACACUUACUUGAACCCUGGUAUUUGGACAUUGAGAAUGUUGUUCAUGGCUAGAAUCUGAAGGUCUUUUUGUGCAAGAAAGACUUCUUUUCCUUCUUUAUAACUGCUUCCGAAAGCUGUGUGGGAGAUCACAUCGGCAGUCAACUCCUGAAACUGCAAGCUUAGAUCUACUUCUGCUUCCUUGUUCUCAUUUUGGAUCAUCUGCGUCUCCCACUCCUCCAUCAUGGAUCGAGCUAUUUGCGCCAUUUUCGUAGUCAUCAUCUAUAUAUAUACCAUGCAAAAACAUCAAUAUAUAUAUAUAUAUAUAUAAUUAGUUAGCCAAUAACAAUCACCAUAUAUAUCACAUAGUUUAAACUUUGUUGAGUACGUACCUUGAGCUUGUCCAUGGUGAAAGCAGGGUUCACCACCCUCCUGUGGCGAGCCCAAUCUUGGCCAUUUGUGAGGACCAAACCCUUCCCCAAGAGAGCUUGUAUGUUUGGGUGGGGAUCAUUUUUGGCGUAGAACCCAAACUUGUUGGAGAGCACUUGCUUCACCAUGUCAGGGUUGGUGAUUGCCAAAGUUGGUCUUGGUCCAAACCAAAACAAGAAGGUUCCUCCUGUGUGAAACAUAACAUAUAAUUUUUUUUUUUUUUAAAAAAUCACUUUUUUAUAGCUAAAGUUUUAUUAGAACCAAUCCUUAUAAGUCCCUAUCAUAUUUUGAGCUCGAUUACUGUAUCCACCAUUUUAUUACAUAUAUAGCCAUCUAUUUUUGUUAUCCUUUAGUCAGUCGACGUGACAUAGUUCACCUGAUAUAUGUAUACCCACCAUAUGCGAAUGCGUGAGCAAAAAUAUUAAGACUAAUUCUGCACCAGUUUUUGCUCAAUUAUUUUUUUGAGAUAAUUUAUUAGAAAUAAAAGUGUUAAAUAUUAGUUCAUCUGAUCGUGCGUGAGCAGAAAUAUUAAGACUAAUUGUGGACCAAUUUUUACUAGAUCGUCAGUUGACAUGAUCAUAUAGUUCAUCUGAGAUAUGUCCAUCAUGCGUGCCCAUGAGCAGAAAUGUUAAGACUAAUUCUGUACUAGUGUUUACUAGAUUGAUCUUUUAGUCAGACGUCGACAUGAUAUAGUUCAUUUGAUAUAUGUCCAUAAUAGGCGCGCUGUUUGAAGUGAAAAAAAAAAAAAAUUUUUUGAAACCGAUUAGAUUCAGACUCAAACAAUUUUUAUAGGUCUCAUGUUGACCAGAAAAUUUUGGGGCCAAUAAUUACAAUUUAAAAUCCACAAUAGGCCCAUUAAUAAAUGUGAGUGGGUGAGCCCUUACGAAAGCCCAAACAAAUAAAUAAAAAAAGUGAGGGGGGGGGCUUUAUUUCAGCCCGUUAUCAUUUGAGCCCAAUAAAUUAAGGUGGGUCUGAUCAGCGACGGCCCACACCCACACCUUAUAAAGUAUCUAGUCGAAAUCCGAUUUCAAAUCAUAAUCCAUUCAAAAUUCAAAUUUUGAAUUUUGAACCCCCAACAAAUUACCAAAAUAGCCUCCAAUAAUCCAUUCAAAAUUCGAUUUCGAAUUUCGAAUUCCUCAACCAUUUACCAAAACAUCAUCCAACAAUCUAUUCGAAAUUCGAUUUCGAAUGUUGAAUUCCCUAACCAAUUCCCAAAAUAUCAUCCAAUAAUCCAUUCAAAAUUCGAUUUCGAAUUUUGAAUUCCCUAACCAAUUCCCAAAAUAUCAUCCAAUAAUCCUUCAAAAUUCGAUUUCGAAUAUUUUGAAUUCCCCUAACUAAUUCCCAAAUAUCAUCCAACAACUCCAUUCAAAAUUCAUUUCGAAUUUUGAAAUUCUUAACACACCCUCCCUCCCAUAUAUAUAAAUACGGGAACCGAAAUCAAAUUCGGAUUUUUUUUUUGGAGAAGAGAUCGAUUCACGAUAGUAUAAUUGCUACACACCACUUCCAAGUUCAAAUAUUCAAAAGAGAAGUCCGAUGUGGACAAUCAAGCUCCGCUAGUGGCUCAUAUUUUCCAUAUUAACUAAAAAAAUUUUAGACAACAUGCCUCCAACACCUUUUUUUCUUAUUUUUUUCAAAAAAAUUUGUAUUUUUUUUUUUAUUUAUUUUGCUCGAGAAGCCAAUUGACGAUUGCCUAAUGCCAUCCCGAACCCUAAGGUGAGUUAGUAUUCCGUCUAGGCAAAGAUAUAUUUUAGGUAAAUAGAAAAUACUGGGAUUAUUUUUUAUUUUAUUUGCCGUCGAGAACAUCGAAAUUCUGGCGCAUAACCCGACCCUAAGGUGAGUUAAGCAUGUCGCGUCAAUGUUUGAUCUGCCCCCGGGGCAACGAAUGACCACCUCCACGGUCGAUGAUUUAGGCCGAUAGGUAAGCUAUUCAUGAAUUCAGAUGAGUCAUUUAUAGUAUGUGUGGUGAUCAGUAUUGGCGAGUCCAUUGACUUCGCAAUAGAUGCCAGCACUAAUGUUAGAUUACCCCUGAGAUUGGGGAAACCUUCCGAUUAAGAGACCUUUAUAUUGGCUUGGAUGAGGAUGGAGUCGUAUCUCGAUUAUUUGAAUCCUAAGUAUAAGUAUAUUAAGGAUUCAGUUGGAUCGUGAGGUUGUAUUAAGUGGCCUACAGUAUAUGUGUUAAGACCUAGAUCGAUAUUGAAAACUCUAUGUAUUAAGAGUCUAAUGGUUCUGAGAAUAUGGGUAUGAAUUGGGUAUUUGGUUCAUGGGAUUCUGGUAUUAGGUUGGAUGUAUAGUUCACAUGGAUUUUAGUCCAUAAAUUUGUGUAUGGUUUAGUGGGGUUUGGUCCAUCGAGACUUUAGUUGUGUCAUGGAUUUGGUCCAUGAGGGUUUGGUUUGGCUCUGGGAUUUGGUCCAUAGAGAAUUAGUUAGUUCAUUGAAAUUUGGUCCAUGGAGGUUGAUUUUGGCUCCAUGGAUUUGGUCCAUGAGAUUUGGUUUUGGUCUGGCUUUGGUCCCCAUGAGGUUUGUUUUGGUCUAUGGAUUUGUCCAUGAACUUGGUUAUUUGGCUCAUAGAAUUUGGUCCAUGAGUUUGGUUCUUGGCUGCAUGGAAUUGGUCAUGAAAUUUGUUGUUUUGCUCAUGGGAUUUGGUCCAUGAGGUUUGGUUUUGGCUCAUGGGAUUUGGUCCAUGAAAUUUGGUUUUGGCUCAUGGGAUUUGGUCCAUGAGAUUUGGUUUUGGUUCAUGGGAUUUGGUCCAUGAACUUGGUUUUGGCUCAUGGGAUUUGGUCCAUGAGAUUUGGUUUUGAUUCAUGGAAUUUGGUCCAUGAGGUUUGGUUUUGGCUCAAAUGACGGAAUGCUAACUCACCUUAGGGUCGGUUAUGCGCAACAAUUUCGAUUGCUUCUCGAGGCAAAAUAAAUAAAAAUAAUCCAUAUUUUCUAUUACCUAAAAUAUAUUUUGCCUAUGACGGAAUACUAACUCACCUUAGGGUCGGUUAUGCAUGGCAAUUUCAAUUGCUUCUUGAGGCAAAAUAAAAAAAAAAAAAUACAAAUUUUCUGAAAAAAAAAAGAAAAAAAGGUGGAGGACAUGUUGUCUAAAUUUUUAGAUAAUAUAGGCAAAAUAUGAGCCACCAGCGGACUUGAUUGUCCACAUCGGACUUCAAGGGUAAGAUUGCAAAAAGUCCCCGGCUGUGGUAUAACCCACAGGCAAAAUUGGGAUCCCCGCUGUGAGAAAAUCUUUCGAGACUCACAGGCAAAAGUUAGGGGAAGGUACCUGGUGAAAACCCAUAUGGGCGCCAGAUUACCCAAGAUAUAUUUUGCCUAUGACGGAAUGCUAAUACACAAACUUAAACUGCAAAUUAAGUUCAUAUGCGAACCCAAAUUGCAAAUUAAGUUCAUAUGUGAAUCCAAAUUGCAAAUUAAGUUCAUAUGCGAACCCAAAUUGCAAAUCAAGUUCACCUCCAAACCUAACCAAACCAAGUCCAAAUAAGCAUCCAAACCAAAACCCAAAACCCAAAUAAACCCAAACCAAACCAAGUCCACAUACAAAGCCAAACGGCCCAAACCUAACCAAACCAAGUCCAAAUAAACAUCCAACCCAAAACCAAAAUAAAUCGAAACCAAACCAAGUCCACAAAUAAAAUCCAAACCCAUUCCCCAAAUAAGACCAAAACCCAAACCCAAAUAAAUCCAAACCAAGUCCACACAUAAAACCAGAACCCAAACUCGGACCCAAAUAAAACCAAAUCUCAUGGACCAAAUCCCAUGAGCCAAAAUCAAAACCUCAUGGACCAAAUCCCAUGAGCCAAAACCAAAUUCAUGGACCAAAUCCCAUGAACCAAAACCUCAUGGACCAAAUCUCAUGAACCAAAACCAAACCUCAUGGACCAAAUCCCAUGAGCCAAAACCAAACCUCAUGGACCAAAUCCCAUGAACCAAAACCAAACCUCAUGGACCAAAUCCCAUGAGCCAAAACCAAGUUCAUGAACCAAAUCCCAUGAACCAAAACCAAACCUCAUGGACCAAAUCCCAUGAGCCAAAACCAACUUCAUGGACCAAAUCCCAUGAACCAAAACCAAACCUCAUGGACCAAAUCCCAUGAGCCAAACCACGCGCAUGAGCAGAAAUGUUAAUUAAGAGUAGUUCUAGACCAGUUUUUACAGGAUUGACUUUUUAGUCCGUGGACAUGAUAUAGUUCAUCUGAUAUAUGUCCAUAAUAAGCGCGCAUGAGCCAAAAUGUUAAUUAGGCUAACUCUAAACCAAUUUUUAUUAGAUUAACUUUUUAGUCGGUCAACAUAAUAUAGUUCAUCUGAUGCACAGAAAUGUACAAAUUCUGGACCAGUUUCUACUAUAUAGAUUGAUGGUUUAAAUAACUUAUUAGAAAUAAAAGUGUUACAGGUAAGAUAUGAAAAAGGGAAUCAUCUUUCACACCUCCAAUACAACACACAAAGAGACAAAUUUUGCUUAGUGCGUGCGUACGACCAUCUUUUCUUUUGUUGUUGAAGUCAAUAUUAUCCACACAAUAACCAAAUCACAUAUAUAAUUAAUACAUGCACACUACAACAAAAACGAUAUAUAACGACACUUUUAAAUAUCAGUAUAAGUAAAAAUAAAAGUGCUGCUGGCUAAAUUACCGACACUUUUAAAAAGUGUUGCUAUAUGUGAGGUCGCUAGGUAUAUAGUGACAAUUAAAGAGUGUCGCUAUAAUCUAAAAGAGUGUUGCUAAUUUACCAAUAUUUAUUUAAGCAUCUAGCAACAACCGAAACUCUAUCUCGUUAGCUGCAGUGGCGGAGUAGACUAGAGGAAGGGAUGAGGAGAAGGAGAAAUGGUAAUCGAUUUUUCUUUUCUUUUUCUUUUAUUUUUUUUUUCUGUUUGUAAUCGGACCGAAUGGGCUGGGUGGGGUGGGUUGAGUAGAGUACCCUUUUAUUUUUAGUUGGAUUAGACUUUAUAUUUAGGCAUUAGUACGUUUUUUUUUUUUAAGUUUUGACAUAAAUAUGACACUUACAUAAAAGUGUUCCAAAUAUGUGUUCCUAUAACCUAAUUCUGUUAUAGUGACACUCAUAAUAAUAAAUAAUAAGCACCUAUUAACUAAGUCCAAAUAAAAAAAUAAUAAUAAUUAUGCAAUUAAUAAAAUGAACAAUUAUACCAAUUCUCUAAAAAUUAACUUAUUAAAUACUCAAUUUUCCAGAAUGGGUAUUAUUGAUGUGUUGGCAUAUACAAUAUAAAAUAUUUCGCUCAGUUUAUUUAUAUAAAUUUAAAGUGUUAUAGGAAUUUGGUAAACCCAAAACAAUAUGUAGUAGUUGGCCUUACCAAUUUAUAUAUUGUGGAUGGUGUUCUUUCAAAAGAAUAAAAUAAUAAUAAGAAAAUACUUAUAUAAUAAACAAAAAAAAUUUGGCCAUUAUUUAGAAAAGCAUGUUCUAGUAAUUAAUGCCCCCUCCACCACCACAAGAGAAAAAAAAAAGAAAGAAAAGAAAAGAAAAGAAGAAGAAGAAGAAGAAGAAGAAGAAGAAGAAUUAAAAUUGUUUGUACACUAAACCAAAAUCUUUAAUGCAUUAUCUUAUCUUAUCUUUUUUACCCAAAAACACUUGGUUAGAAUUCGAGUUCUAGUUGGGAGGACUCAAAAUUUUUCGAUUCGCAUGCAAUAUAUAAUUAAUAAUAAUAAUAAAAAAAAACAAAUAAGAAAUCUAAAAGAUCAGAGAUGAAAUUAAGUAGUAAUUAGAACAUACCAUAUUGCGAAAUCCAUUUGGGAUAGUGAGGCAAAAUCCUUGUGGUGAAAUCAUGUGAGUGUAUGUCCAACACAAUCCCCUGAGCUUCUCUUUUCAUUCUCUUGAUCUCCUCAGUUGAUCCUACCCAUAGCUUGUACUCGGGCCCCUCGAUCCCUUGAUCCCUAAACUUUUUACUUAUUACGUACGGCCUCCACAGCACAGAUGCCAAUACGCUCCAGAUCCUCGGAAUAAGCACCACAAAAAUAGAUCCCAAUAUCAACCCAACAACAUAAGUUGUAUCCAUUUUUUCCUUUUUUUUCUCUCUUUUUGGUGUUGCUCACCAAAGAAGUGUUGUGUGUAGGAUCAACUUGGUUUAGAGAUGGUGUAGUGGUGUUUAUUUAUGUGGGGUAUUUAUAUUACAAUGGGGAACAUAGAUGCUUGUGUUUUAAUUGAUUGAGUAAUUGACUGAUUGAUUUGUCCUGUUUGCUUUCCUUUUGCUUGGAAAUGAGAUCAUGGGUGAUGUAAGCUAGGGACGAAGCCAGAAUUCAAUCACAAGGGGGGCCAAAAUAUGUACAAAUAAAAAAUUUAGCAGAUAAAUAAAAUUUUAACUACUCAAAUUUUUAAUAAAAAAAUUUAGUGAUUAGAUAAUUAAUAUUAAAAAAUAUUAAAUUUAUUUCUUUAAUUUACACUCGCUUAACUUCUAAUUAUUUUAUUUAUAUUAUUUCAUUCAAAUAAUUUAAGAAUUUUACUAAAUCUAAUAGCAAUUUAGUUAGAAUUUAAUUUUUUAAAAUUUUUAUUAAUAAAAUAAUAACAACCAAUGACUAAUAUUUAACAGAGCUAUUAAAUUUAGCAUACUAUUUUAUUUAGUUAAAUAAAUUAGCUCAUCAAAAUAAUUGGAAAGUUAAGAAUAUAUAAAUAAAAUAUUUAAAGUUGNUAAUUAAAAGGUUCUUAAUAUAUUUUUACCUAUAAAACACAUAAGAAGAGAGAGAGCUUCUAUAUUAGCACUAAAAACUUUUUACAAAAUAGGCCGAUAUAUUUUAAAAAUUAACUAAAAAUAUAUAAACUACUAAAGGACUAUAAAGUAAAUAUUGAAAAGUUGAAAAGGGCCCUGGCUCCUUUGGGUCUAUAUAUGGUCCGUCCUUGUGCGUAAGCCUUGGAGUCUUGGCCCACAAGCCAACAAUUCUUUUCAAAAAAAUUUCACUUUGGUCCCCUAAAUUUAUAAUAUUUUAAUUUUUUUAAUAGCUUACUAGUGGAUUGUUCUCUAAUUUUAAAAAUAUGGGGGGGCCCCCACAUGGCUUGCAAGCCAAAGAAAACUCUGAGGGGGAUAGUGAUGCAUGGGGAUAAACAAAGAGGUUAAUUUGUUUGAACAUUGAACAUUUAUAUGUGUGGUGGGGGGUAUAUGGCAUGUGGAGGUGGUCUACUAAUUAAUUACCAACUAGCACUAAUAAAAAGAUUAAUUAUUGGAAAUUAAUAGUUAAUUAGUACAUGGAAGUAUCUAGAUUAUGAAACAUGCAUGCAACUAUUUUUCUUCGUAAUUAAUUAGUUUGUACUCAGGACCGCAUGCUCUAAUGUCAUACUAAAAAAUCAUAUGAAAGAAUCAUAUAUUGUCACUAUAAUAAAUCUGGUACUUAAGGACACUUUAACUAACAAUUAGCAACGCUUUAAAGCGUCGGCAAGAAUUAAUAACCCUAAGUAAACAUGUCGGAAUAAAUAUAUUGACGCUUCAAUAUAGCAUCGAAAAAUUUUUAGCAGUAUUUGAUAAAAAUAUAUGUUUAUUAGCGACGCUUAAUUAUGAUGUAGGCACACGCCAAAUAUUGAAUAUAUUAGAAUAUAUAUAGUGUUGUCUAAAAAGUAUCGUUUAAAACAUAUAUAUUAAAAGUUUAAACUGGUAGAGAAAUUAAUACUACUUUUAAUGCAUUUAAUCAACAAGGGAAAUGCUUAAUUUGGGUCUCCAAAAAUAUUACUCUUAUAUAUAUACAGCUAUCUAUACCUAUACAUUAUUUUUCCUAAUUUUUUUGCCACGUGGCGAAUUCUCCUUCACUUUUUCUCUUCUCUCAUCUAACUUUUUCAUCCAAUGUUUCAUCUUCCUAAACUCCCAUCUCUCAAUUAAUGUGCUUACAUAAUAUCAUCUCCAUCCAAUGCUUCAUCUUUCUAACCCCCCACCCAAUGCUUCAUCUUCCUAACCCCCCUAUCUCUCAAUUAAUAUGUUUACAUGGUUUCAUCUCCAUUUCUCCUUUUUUUUUUUCAUAUUGUUUUUUUUUUCUCCCCCCUAUCUCUCAAUUAAUAUGUUUACAUGAUUUCAUUUCCAUUUCUUCAUUUUUUUUUUCAUAUUAUUUUUUUUCUUUUUUUUCUUAGCGCACAAAAAGGGCUCAUGUUUUAUAACUUUUUUAAAUUUUUUGUUGUGUGUGGAUUGAAAUUAGGAUUUCAAGGAUCGCGACGGAGCGCUGGAUUUGGAGUCAGUGAGAGAAAGAAGCAGAGGAUGUGGAUACGGGAUUGAUAUGGUUGUGACUAAAGAGGAGCUCGACACUAACGGCGAAGGCGAUAUAAAGAUCGAAAUUUGCCUCUCCGAUGUCGAUAGUGCAAUGAAGAUGUGUGUGGGGUAAAAAAAAUUUUAUUACUUAUUUUAUUAUUAUUACGUGUGAUUUAUUUACCAAAAUUAUAAAUUUUAUUAUAUCUAUACCUAUAUCUAUUUUAUAUUUUAUAUUUGUGUUUAUUUAAGUUCCAUAUCAAAUCAAAAAAUUUAAAAUUUUUAUUUUAUUUAUAUUUUAUAUUCUAUAAUAUCAUUCCGUCGCAAUGCGCGGGUAACUUCACUAGUGUUCAUAAAUACAUGUGAUACCUUGGUGAAUGUGCGUGCAUAAACCAGUCAAAGACAUGCAGCUACAUAAUUAUAUACGUUAGCAUAUAUAUUGACAACAUAUAAUAACCAGCAUGUAAUGCUUUUGUAUCACUCUACGCAUGAAUCAAGAAGGUGUUAUGCAUGUAUAUGACUCUUAAUCCAAAGUAUAUCGAUCUAAUCAAAUUUGCACACCUUGCGAAGAGGGAAAAGGUUAAAUUUUCUUUCUUGCUAAAUGUAAAAUUUUAUAAUUACGGUAUCAAAGCAGCAGAUCUUCUAAUUAAUAAUCUCAUCUAAUUCUCUUCUAUUUGAUAAAUCUCUAUAUAUUAUAUAUUGAAUAAUAUAUAAUAUCAUAUGGCAUCAGAUCAGUCGAUUCUGAACUCUCACCGUCCCGUAAAAUCGUCGCGUUUUGAUACUCACCUUUAAUAUUUAACUAAAUUAAAUGAUAUCAUAGUUUCUAGAAGGCCGAGGAUAUUUGACGUGGUCGAGACCACAGUUAGUUAAUUCGCGUUUAAUACGCGAAUUAAACGGCGAUUUUUUUACAUACGAAUUAAACGGCGAUUUUCGUUUUUUUCCGAAAAAAUCGAAAAAAUACGCGAUUUCUUCCUCAAAAAUCAUUAUUCGCGAAUUAUUCGCGAUUCGCGAAUAAUUCGCCCAAAAACUCGGCGAUCGCGAUUGCGGUCGCGGACUCGCGGCCGAGGGUCGCGUCGUCGCCGGCUCGCCACUUGUGUCGUCGCUGCUCUCGUGGCCGCUCGUGUUGUUGCCGCUCGCAUCGUGGUCGUCCUCCGCCGCUCUCGCGGGCGCCGGGAGCAAGGUCGCGGCAGCGGAUCCCAUCUCCUCGCCCGAUGCCGUUUUGGGAAAGUGGAAGUUAAACAGUAAUUUUUGCGGGGCUUUUGGGAGCAUGGAGAUGCGCAGUCCACGAGGCUAUUUCAGCCUCCUGGACCGCAUGAGGGGGAGGUCCACAGUGGACCUCCGUCUCAUAUAUANUAUAAUUUUUAUUUAUAAAUAUAUAUUCAUUUAUUAUAUAUAUUAUUUUAUUUUUAUAUAUAAAUAUUUAUAUAAUAUUUUAUUUAUAAAUUUAUAAUUAUUUAUUACUAUUUUUAAAUAUAUAAAUUUUAUGUAUUAUUAAUAUAUGUUUAUUAUUAAUAUAGGAAUAUAUUUAAUCUAUAUAUAAAAAUUAUAAUAAUAAUAUAUAUAGUAAAUUAAUAUUUAUAUACUUAUUAUAUAGCCGAAUUUUUGAUCCCGAAUUUUUAAUUGGUGAACGUAUUAUAUCCGUAUAAAUUACAUAUCCGAAUAAUUACCGAACCCGUUUUUUAGCCGUAUUUUUCAACGAAUUUAAAAAUUAAAAAAUAAAUUUUAUCCGAAUUAUAUCCGUACCGAAUUUUUGCCGAAUCCGAAUUAACUAACUACGGUCCAAACUAUGUACGUAGGACGAGCCAGGCAUCAGAGGAAAAGAAAGAUGGUGCACAUAUCAUUGUUUGCACUAAUUAUUACAUUUAUUUAUGUUUAUUUAUUUAUUCCAAAAAAGUGAGUGGCUUCUAGAAGGCUUGUGAUAUUGCUAUUCCAGGUGCGCUCGAUCUCUACUAGAUUCUCUUUUCGUCUUUAUCAUUGUCCUUUUAUUUUGCAUGUGCAUUCACGGAUCAGUGUAAAGGAUAUAUAUUAGUCAUUUACAAGAUAAAGUAAAAAUAUUGUUCCCUAUAAAAUGCAAAAAAAAUUUUAAAUAUCAUCCUUGUUGUUUCGCACUUUCUCACUUUAAUAUCUUAUAAUAUAAAAUAACCGACCGUCCCUAGCGCAAGUGGCAAAAGGACUUGGUAGUUGGUACCCGAGAUCCAAGUUCGAAUUUUAGUUGAUUCACAUUUCCAGCUAAGUUUAUUUCUAAAUGAAAUAAAUGAAGCGGGCAGCAUACUACCUUUCUCUUAAAAAAAAAAAAUCUUAUAAUAUAUAUAAAGUAUAUCAAUUUAGCGUACGUCCUAUGGUUUCAUUUUUCUUUUUUUGUUUGCUCCCCCGUUAAUAUUUUGUUAAAUUAGAUAUAUACCAAAAACUUUAGAUACGCUAUUUAGGUUUAUUGAAUAUUCAUUUUAGUAUAUUUUAGUUUUAACUUUGUCACUAAUUUAACGAAAAAAAAUAGUGGAGAGGAUAAUAAAAACAAAAAAUAAAACCACGAGGUACUAAAAUAAAAAAAGUGGGAGACCAUAGGGUGGUAUUUGAAGUUUUUUCUAUAAUAUAUGUAGCAUAUUUUUGCUUAAUAGUUUAAGUUUGUGGGUUGGAUGUGAGUCUUUUAGAUACAGUGAUACAGGCUUAAACCGCAUUGAGAGGAACGAAGUAUAAGAACAAAAAUAGAGGAAUAUACAAAAAACCAUUUCUGCGACAAAGACGAAAAUAUUAUUAAGCAGCUUUGAAAAUUGAUUACAUGCAUUAAUCGAACGCCAUGUUUGUAUAUAGAGGUGAUACCUGAAUCCUACUAGAAAUGAAAAUAAUAAAUCCUUAUAUAUCUCUAAAUCUAAUCCGAUUAGAAAUAAUCAAAUAAUCGAAUUCAAAUAGGAAAAAAACAAAACUCCGAAAAUAACCUAAUAAAAACGCAAAAGCUGAGGCGAAAACAAGCGAAUUUGGGUCUCAAACUUGGCUGGAACUGCUUUGCCAUUCGACGUGCAGAUUUCGAAAAGUGUUUUCCGAAUUGGGAUUGCACGCUGAAAUCGGAUGCUUAGCGAAAAGUUAUGACUAUUUAAAGAUUUUUUGUAAAAUUCUCGUUUUCCGUUCCAUUUGGUAUGUAUCACGUUUUCCCAAAAACCCUAAUGAUAAAUUGGCCACAUAAUAUAGUAUUAGAACCUGAUUUACACACCUUAAUUUAGGGCCCGCCGAGUAGACGAGUGCUAAUUGCGUUUAACAUGUGGAUUGCAUUUAUAUCAUGGUACAACUAAGUUUAUUUAUAAAUGAAAUAAACGAAACGGAUAGCAUGCUACCUAUAUCUCAAAAAAAAAAAAAUUAUAUCAUGUAUAUAUAUAUAUAGAUAAUAAGAGAGAGAAAACAAGGGAAGAGAAGUAGAGAGAGAGAGAGAGAGAAGAAAGUAUGAGAUCAGAGAAUAGGACUAUAUCGAUAGUGCUUUUGAUGUUUUAACCGUUGAGUGAAAAUGGUAGGGUUGAGUGAUGAUGGUAUUGUGUAGCGUAGAAUAUGUUUGAUUCAAAAAUAUAAAUAAUUGGGAGUAGAUCCAAGAAUUUUCUUAGAACUUAGAAGCACCGAGGAUGUGGUGUUUUUAAAAGUAUUAGCUCAAUAUAUAUAUAUAUAUAUAUAUAUAUAUAUAUAUAUAUAUAUAUAUAUAUAUAUAUGGUUGACGAUUCAUAUGUAGGCUAUUGUCUGAUCACAUUGAGUCUGUGCCACAUGUAUGCCAUUAACGUCUAACAGGUGUUAAGGAAGAAUUAAUUAUUAAGAAUAAUAGCCUUAUAUCGAUUACAAAAUAUCAUUUUAGAUCUUUGGAUUUUUCAAAAUAUAAAAAUGGUGCUUUUAGCAAGUCUAUGCUUUUCAGAUUGUAUUGAGUUUCAAAAGAUAUCUCACAUAUUCUUAGUUUUUCGUGUCUUAGCUCUCGACCCAUUUUUCCUAACAAAUACUAGUAUUAAAGCUAGCAAUUUGAAACUUACGGCUGAAACUAAGUUUUUAGUAGUUAAUUAACAACUAUUAAGACUACAUCUGGAUCACAUUUUAUCAGAUUUAUCUUUCAGAUAAUAUAAUAAUAUAAGAGUGAGACAUACUGCCCUCCUUUCUAUUCCAAAAUGCUCUGCAUUCGAUUUCUACAUCUGCUAUAAACUCUUAACACGAUGCCAAUAUUAUAUAAAAUUGAUUGAUCAACUAUAUUUUUAUAAUAUUGGUUGAGUAGUUCUUAGAUUGGUGUUCUUAGAUGAGUCCAUAGAGACUUUUAAAAUGUGGGCUAUUGGUCUUCCUAGGUUGAUCACUACAAUUCUUAAGGUGUUAGUACUAUACUAGUUAUUUUAAUUAUAUAUUUUUAUCUCAAUAAUUAAUUUUUUUUUUUCCCCAUAAGUAACCUUAGUUGACUUUGACAAUGACACUUUCUUAAUUACGUGCAUCCCAAGUUUCUAGAUCCAAUCCCACUAGACAAAGCAAAAGAAACAAUUUGAAUUGAAAGACUCCACUAUAUCUUUAGUACUUUUUUAAUUAGUCAUAUAAAUUUUUAAUUUUGAAAAUUAAACUUUCUGAGUAUGUCUCUAUCAUCAAUCAAAGUUAUUAAUUAUACACGUGUUUUUUUGACUUAUCCUACUCUUAAAUCUCGGUAUUUGUAUAAUUACCAUAAUUCGAAGAGAAAACAAUGGUAUUUUUCUUUGUAUUUUAAAGUUUUGCAAAAUUAUAUACAAUUCAAGCGGCUAAAACGGCUAUAUAAUUAGUAACUUCGUUUGAGCACAAAGACUUAUUGAGCUAUUGAUAAAGUUCUGAGAGCCAAAUCGGCCAAGUUAAAUGUUUAGACGUCUAUAUGCAAAACAAAAUAAAAAAGCUAAAAUUCAAGGGCGCUUAAUUUUGUAUUUUUUUUUUUUCAAAAUUUAAUUAGGUCGAGGUCAUGUUUAAAAGUCAGAAUAAGUUACACAAGUAUAACUUAAUUAGCUAUAUAAAAUUAUCAAAUGUGAUUGUAAGAAAAAUAAAUAAUUGGGAUAACUUCAAAAACCCUCCGUGGUUUCGCAUUUUCUCACUUUAGUACCCUAUGGUUUAAAAUAUAUCAAUUUGCCCUCCCGUGGUUUGGUUUUUCUCUUUUUAUUAUCAAUUUUAUUAUUAUUUUUUCUUAAAUCAGUGACAAAGUUAAAAUUAAAGGGUACUAAAGUAAAUAUUCGAUAAAUCUAGGUGGGUAUCUGAAGUUUUUUACAUAUAAUUUAAUAAAAUAUUAAGAAAAAAAGCUACCGAAAAGAUAAAAAUAAAACCAUAAGAGGGCAAAUUGAUACACUUUAAACCAUAAGGUUCUAAAGUGAGAAAGUGUGAAACCACGGGGGAUUUUUUGAAGUUUUUUCUAAAUAAUUUUAACAACUUGAAAGAUUUUGAUAUUCAUGAUUUGGUCGGAGAAUAUAUAUAUAUAUAUAUAUUUCUCUUAGGAGGAAAAUUAUAUUAUCGGAAACNAUUCAUGAUUUGGUCGGAGAAUAUAUAUAUAUAUAUAUAUUUCUCUUAGGAGGAAAAUUAUAUUAUCGGAAACAAUGACUUGAAGGCUGAAUAUAAUAUUCAGUUCUAAAUAUUUGAUCACUCUUCUCAUCUACCCAAUUUACAAGCUUCUCAAAUAAAUCAUGAAGAUAUACCAAGUAAAAUAUUUAUACAUCCAAACACGGCCUAAAUAAAAAAGAUAUUAGAUAUAAUAUUUUAAAUAAUCUCUCUUUGGCAUAUCUUUCAGUAUCUUUUAAUGUUCUCCGACUUAAUAUUGUCCAGACGUCUUGGUUCUAUCAAAUAACCUCGAGUACAAACAUGAGAGGGAGUAUUGAAUACUGAGAAUACCUGUUGUUUCAAAAUUAAAAAGCCCUCCAUGCAUUUUUCUUGUUGUAAUUUGGGAUUGAUGAAGAAAAAUAAAAGGGUAGAGGCCGGAUAUUAAUUGAUACAAUUUGUAAGGGGUAGGGGGUUCUUUUAUAAUUUAUUCUAUAACAACAAUAGUAAAAAAAUUCAGCUACUGUCCUUUUGGGAGAACAAUGAUUCUACUUUUUAAAAUCAGAAAACUGAUUUUGAAAGCUCCAUAAUCACAAGCAGGAAAAAGCUGCUUUUCCAAAACUGAUUCUGAUUUUGAACUCAAACUUCUAAUUUUUAUUUUAUUUUAGAUUCAAAGUAUAAAUUUAACAUUAAAUUUAAAUUUUGAAAUUUUAAAUUCAUAUUUGAAUUUUUAAAUCUCAACUUUUCAAAUUUAAAAUUUAACAAUAAAAUUUUAAAAUUAAGUUUAAACUCAAUUCAAAUUAAAUUAAUUUAAAUUAAUUUCAAAUUAAUUAAAUUCAAAAUUCAAAUUCAAAAUUUAAAUUUCAAAACAAAAUUUAAAUUUCAAAUUUAAAUGUUAAAUGUACUUUUAAAUUGAAACAUUCAAACUUCAAACAUUACAAAUUGAAUCAAAUUUAACAUUCAAAUUAAAUUAAAAUUCAACAUUUAAUUAAAACCUGAAUUUAAAAUUAAAUGUUAAUUUUCAAAAUUUUAAAUUUUAAUAAUUGAAAAAUUUGAAUAAUUUAAUUAGCAUUUGAAAAUUUAAAUUUAAAUUUGAAAUUUUAAAUUUGAAUUUAAAUUUGAAAAUUUAAAUUAAAUUUUAAAAUUCAGAUUAAAUUUAAAAUUUAACUUCAAAAUUUAUUUGUACCAAUUGAAAUCUAAAAACUUAUACUUUUAAAUUAAAUUUAAUUUUUAUAAUUUAAAUCAAAUUUAAAUUAUUUAAAAUAAAGUUAUAAAAAUAUUAAUAACUUCACAACAUAAAAAUUUUUGCUGCGAAACUAGCUUUCAAGAAAAUUACCUGUCAUAAAAUCAAUUUUUCUAAACAACCAAACGCUCAUAAGCUUUCACCCAAAAAUCAUUUCUCAAACCCAAAAUCACUUUACGACGAAAUCACUUACCAGAACUAGUCACAAACAUGCCCUACAGUCAUAUUAGAUAAUAGGGACUGAAUCGAUAUCUCGCUAUUGUAAAAAUUAAUUCUAUGAACAUUUAAAGUAUGAUAGAAACAAAUUUCAAUAAAUUUUGAAAAAUUAUUUAAGUAGACAGGAUGAAAUGAUCCACAAAAUCGACUAGUUUAACGGCUAUUAGCCGUUUGACUUGUUAAAGGUGUAAGUCAACCAACAUUUACUGAAUUUUGAUAAAAAAAAAAUUUAUACUAUUUAAAUAAUAUUUGCAAUUUCACCUACAAAAGUUUAACAUUCUAUUUUUACAAGAUUUUGCAUUUUGCCUAUUUAUUUUCUUGACGUACUCUUAAAUUAACUUGAGAACAGAAGCUCAAUGUUGCAAUCUACUUAACUUUUCUUGUGCUCAUUUCGUACAAGAAACUAAUCCUAAAGUUGCCUCUUACCGACAUCAGGUACUCUCUCAUACCUCUCUUAUUCCUAGACUUUAUUAACAUCCUUUCGUGGAGGGGAGAAAAGUAUUUUCAAAUAAGAAUUUUCAUACAUGUCUAUAAUAAAUGAGCUGAAAAAAUAUCGCUACAAACUCAACUUUUAUCAUGUCUUUAUGCAACAAGUCCUAAAGUUAUUCAAAUAUCAUCUAUCUGUUACCUACAAUUAGAAAAAGACAAUGUAGAAACCGUUUUAUAUAUUUCAAUUUUGUCAUCACACACAAUAUAAUCUCUAUCCAAACAUAUAACUAUAAUAAACAGAGAUAAAAAUGUCAAAAACUAAUAAUAUUAACAUAUGCGAUUAACCUAACCGUUAUCAUAAUGGAUCUAACACGGCAAACGAAACAUUCUUGUAAAUGUUAAACUUUUGCAAGGAAAAAUAUAUGAAUUUGAACCUUUGUAGGAAAUAUAUUGUUAUGAUCACUAUAUUGUGGACAUAUAUGAAAUAACAACUCUUAAUAAAAAACUCCCCAUUUCCAUAGUUGGUCAACGCGAGACUAUGAAUAAUUAUGUCCAAUUAAGUUAAUUAGUUACAGAUAUCCAAAAUUUUACUAGAAUUUGAAUUCGAAUGGAAUCGAUAAUACAAAAUUAUGCUAUCAUAAACAACAGAAACGAUCAAUCUAUAUUUAUAUAUAUAUAUAUACUAUAAGUAAUAUAUAUAUAUAACUAAUAAUAAUAUAUAAUAUAGUAGUUGGAGGACUGGGCCUACUAUUAGUCAUGAAAUUACACAUUAUUCUUGCCACACGUAUCAUUACUUCUCUUUCCUUAACCUCAACCCAAGAGGAAUCCGAUUAUGUUCUACUAGUUUUUUAGAACUUUUAUACAAACUUCUUUUCAUCUAUUUUGCUCUAAAUACUCAUUAAUGAUUAAAUACUAUAACCCAAGGAGGCUGAUACACCACAUCAACCCUAGUGGAGACCACUAUGCAACUCUAAAUCGAUUAACUAUCAUCCUAAACCCUAUAAAUUUUUUUCCAGGUCAACCAAAUAUCAGUUAAAAACAUGAUACAAAGACGGUUUAACAUUAUUAGAUGCGCCCAAAUCUAAUUCAUAUCAUAUAUUAUUAAAUUGAUAAUAGUUUAUACUAACUACUAUAUCUAACUAUAUAUUAUAUAGAAGAAGAGAAUCAGAGAAGUAGACGAAAAGAGAAUUAGAGAGAGAGAGAGAGGCAAUCUACUAUCCUAGUCUAUCAGCUUACCCGGUAGCCCGAUANNNNNNNNNNNNNNNNNNNNNNNNNUUAUACUUUUAAUUAAAUUUAAUUUUUUAAUUUAAAUUCAAAUUUUAAAUUAUUUUAAAAAUAAAGUUUAGUAAAAAUAUUAAUAUAUGCAAACAUCAAAAAUUUUUUGCCAAACAGCUUUAGAAAAUUACUUCAGAAAAUCAAUUUUUCUAAAUUCAACCAAACGCUCUAUAGCUUUCACCAAAAUCAAUUCUCCAAACCAAAAUCACUUUUACAGAAAUCACUUCUCCAGAAGCUAGGCCAAACAGGCCCUAAGUCAUUUUAGAUAAUAGGGAUUCUGAAUCGAUGAUCGGUACCGUUAAAAUUAAUCUAGAACAUUUAAAGUAUGAAGAAACUAAAUUUCAUAAAUUUUGAAAAUUAUUUAAGUAGCGAUGAAAUGAUCACAAAAUCGAUAGUUUUUAACGGCCUAUGUAAGCCGUUUGCUUGUUAAAGGUGUAGAGCAACCCAAACAACUUGAAUUUUUGAUAAAAAAAAAAUUUUAUACUAUUUAGAUAAUAUUUGAUAAUUUCAAUCAUGAAUUAAAAAAGUUUAACAUCUAUUUUUACAAGAUUAUUCAUUUUUGGCUAUUUAUUUCUUGACGUACUCUUCAAUUAAACUUGAUAACGAAGUUCAAAAUGUUGCACUACUAACUUUUCUUGGUUUCAUUUCGUACAAGGCAAAACUAUUCCUUAAUUGCCUCUUACCAAUCAUGUCUCUCUACCUCUCUUAAUUCCUAGUUUUAUUAAAAGUCUCUUUCUUGGAGGGGAGAAAAGUAUUUUAAAAAAUGAAUUAAUUUCAUACAUGUCCCUAUAAAUACAGUGAUUGAAAAAUAUAUCCCUACAAAGCUCAACUUUUAUAUGUUCUUCAUGCAAAAGUCCUAAUGUUUUCAAAUAUGUCAUUCUGAUUUGUUACCGUUAGAAAACAAUUAGAGAACCGUUUAUAUUUUCAACUUUGUCAUCACAAAUAUAUCCCUCCAAAAACUAUACUAGUAUAAUAUAAAGAGAUAAAAAUGUCAAAAACUAUUAAGUAUUUAACAUAUGGUUAACUAACGUUUUCUAAUGGAUUCUAACGGCAGAAACAUGUUUGAAAAUGUUAGAACUUUUGCAGGAAAAAUAUAUGAAUGUUGAACUUUGUAGAAAUAUAUUUGUUAUUCACUAUAUUUGUUGGGACAUAUAUGAAAUUAACCCUUAAAAAAAAGACUCCCAUUUUCCAUAGUUGGUCGACGCGGACUAGGAAUUAAUUAUGUCAAUUAAUUAAUUAGUACAGAUAUCCAAAAUUUUACAAAAUUUGAAUUCGAAUGGAAUGGAUAUAAAAUGAUGCUAAUUAAACAACAGAAAUGAUAUAUAUAUAUAUAUUAUAUAUUAUAUAAAUAUAAUAUAUAUUAUAAUAUAUAUUAAUAUAUAUUAAUAUAAUUGGACUGGGCUAAGCUAUUAGUAGCAAAAUCCAUAUUGCCUACCAUUUUUUAGGCGCCUUUGAUCACUCUUUUCAUUAUUUCUAACCAUUUGGAUUAAAUAACUUAACCCAGUGAGACACUCAAACCUAGGGACCACUCAAUCUAACCGAUUAAUAUCAUCCUAACAUCUAUAAAAUUUUCAUCCAAUAGGCUAAAACUUAUAGCUAAGAGGGUUUUACUAUAUUAGUAUUCCAAUUCUAAUUCAUUUAUAUAUAUAUAUAUAUAUAGAUCUAUAUAUAUAUAUAUAGUUAGAGAGAGAGAGAUGAGAGACGAGGAGAGAGAGAGAGAGAGAGAGAGAGGCUACUAAUCCUAUCUAUAAGUACUCAGGAGCCGCCGGUACUCAUCAGAUAGUAUUAAUACUAGCUCUAUAUAUAUGCUACUAAUACUAUCUAUAGAGCAGGGCCUGGCUGGCUCUCUGAGCACGAGCCUGAGCCGUUUUGAUGAUUGAAUUUCCGAAUCGAACGUCACCCGUUAACAUUGAUCUAGUGGCAUUUAUGAAGUUUCUAGAAAAUAAUUUUUGCGAUUUUUUUAUAUAUUUACCUAAUAAUCGAAAGAUUCAAAAUCAAUAAUUUUUAAAUGGUUGAUAAUCUACCGUUUUCAAAGUUAACGGUGUAAGAAUAUUGCAAUAAGAUGAAAUUUUGAUUACAAAAUUCUUUAUAAUCAUUUAAACAAAUCAAUAUUUAUAUCAAAAUAUUUAGUGGCUAAUAACCCCCCCCCCCCCUCACCACUUUUUAUAUGAAUUUUAUUUUUCAAGCCGUUAAAAAAUUAUUGAUUUUGAUCUUUCGAUUACUAGUUAAUAUAUCAAAAAAUCGGGCAAAAUUAUUUCUAAAAACUUCAAAUCCGUUAGAUCAGUCUAACGGAGCCGAUCGUCGAUUUCGAAAUUUCAUCAUCGAAACCUCAGGAGCACGGAGGCCUCCGUGCUCCUAAGAGCACAGCAGGCCUACUCUAUAUAUAUAUAUAUUAUAUAUUAAUAUAUAUAUAUAUAUAUUGUAAGUUGGACUGGGCAUACUAUUGAGUGCAAAAAUCUAUUGUUUCUACCAGUUUUUCAGCGACUUUGGAUCAACUUUUUUCAUUAUUUUCUAACCUUGCGAUAUAAAUCUAUAACCCAGUGGGGACCCACUCAAACCCUAGGGAAACCACUCAACUCUAACCGACUAUAUCAUUCCCGACCUAUCAUUUUUCAUCCAAGGGUUAAUAACUGAUAGCAAAAAGAGCGUUUACUAAUAAUAGUAUUCCACUAAUUCAUAUAUAUAUAUAUAUAUAUAUAUAUAUAUAUAAUAUAUAUAUUAUAUAUAUAUAAUUAUAUAUAUAUAUAUAUAUAAGAGCAGACUGCUGGUGCUCAUCGGACACAGGACGGAAACUACUGUCCUAGAGCCGUUUCGAUGAUGAAAUUUUCAAAAUCGACGUAUCGGCUCCGUUAACUUGAUCUAAGCGUAUUUGAAGUUUCUAGAAAAUAAUUUUUGUCGAUUUUUCGUUGAAUUAACCUAGCAAUCGAAAAGAUUCAAAAUCAAUAAUUUUUAACGGUUGAAAUAAAAAGUCUAUAAAAAGUGGUGAUAUAGCACUAAACAUUUCGAUCAGAAAUAUUGAUCGUGUUGUAGAUAGUAUAAAAAAUUUCUAUCAAAUUUCAUUGAAUUUGAAUGCUUUAUAUACGGUUAAACUUGAAAACGCGAUAUCAUAACCUUUAAAAAUUAUGAAUUUUGAAUCUUCGAUCACUAGUAAAUGAUAUCAAAAAAUCGCAAAAAUUAUUUUUUAUAAACUGUUCAAAUGCGGUAGAUCAAGUCUAACGGAGCUGAUGUCAAUUCAAAAAUUCCAUAUCGAAAACGGCUCAGGACCGGAGGCUCCGUGCUCCUAAAGCACAGCAGCGCCUGCUCCUAUAUAUACUAUAAUUUAUAUUAAUAUAUAUAUAGUAGGGCACUAUACUCUUAUGAGAUUGAGCCGCUCGUACUCAUAAUUGUUUUCGAUGAUAAGGGAUUCCGAAUCGACGAUCCACUUCGUUAAAUAUGAUCUAGAGUAUUGAAACUUAUAAAAUAAAUUUCGUAAGUUUUCAAAAUCAUAAUAAAGUCCAUCAAACGGGUAUAAAAUUAAUGGUCAAAAUCGAAUGACGUCCUAAAAAUAAAUGAUUGGAUCCUUUAAUUUAAGAUCGGAGUUAUUAAUCUUUAUCUAGGUAGUGAAUAGAAUUUUUUAUCAAAAAUUCAACAUAUUCCAAUUAUUUUACAUCGUUAAACUGGCAAGUAUCCCAUACCAGCCGUUAAAAAUUAUCAAUUUUGUGAGCUUUUGAUAAUAAGGUAAAUGAUGUCGAAAAAUUAUGAAAUUUAAUUUCUAGAAGUUUUAAAUGCUCUAGAUAAUGUUUAACGGUAUGAAUCAUCGAUUCAGAAGCUCUAUCAUCAAAAACGACUUAUGAGUACGAGGGCGAUCGUACUCAUAAUAGUAUAGUAGCCGAACUCUAUAUAUAUAUAGAGUUGAGCUAGAAUACUAUCGAUAGCAAACGAGCUCCGUUGCCACCCAUUUGUUUUCGAUGAUAGAGCCUCCAAAUCGAUGAUCGGCACCGUUGAAUGUGAUCUAUACCACUUGAAGUGUUUAGAAAUCAAAUUUCAUACAUUUUUUAUAUUGUUCUCUUGUUCAUCGAGUGGACACAAAAAUGAACGGCUGAAAAUAAAUAUUCUUUAAAAAAUGAUGAUAGGAGUCUUGUAAUCAAGAUCAAGCGUAUAGAUCUUGUUUUAAACAGUUUAAAGAAUUUUCUAACAAAAAUUUAAUUGAUUUGGAUACCUUUACGCCGCUAAACGAGAAAACGCCUCAUAUCGAACAUUAAAAUUACAAAAUUUGAAACCCUUUGAUCAUUAGGCAAAUGAUGUCAAAAAGAUUUGAAAUUUAAUUUCUAAACACUUCAGAUGUUAUAGAUCAUGUUCAACGGUGCCGAUCGUCGAUUUGGAGGCUCUAUCAUCGAAAACAAAUGGGUGGCAACGGAGCCCGUUUGCUAUCGAUUAGGGAUGUCAACGGGUCGGAUAUGGGUCGGGUUUUUAAAAACCCGAACCCGAACCCAAAUACCAAAUUCAUACCCGAAUCCGAACCCGAACCCGACGGGUUUAAAAAAUCCAUACCCAUACCCGGCCCCGACCAAAUACCCGAAACCCGAACCCGAACCCGAAAACCCGAACCCGAAAACCCAAACCCAAAAUAAUGACUUCUUUUUUACCAUAUUUCAAAAUAUAUUAUAGUAAAAUCAAAUUUUCAAAACAUAAUCAAAUACAAUCAAAGUAUGUACAUUCAUGCCAUAUAGAUAUUUCGAUACAAAAUUUCAAAACACAAUCAAAAUUUCAAAACACAAUCAAAUUUUCAAAACAUGUCAUAUAAUAUCAAUAUUUCGAUACAAAAUUUCAAAACACGAUCAAAAUUUCAAAACACAAUCAAAUACAUUCAUGCCAUCAACAUUCAAAACACAAUCAACAAUACAUAGGAACCAUCUGCCAAAUACACCAGCUACACCUAACAUGUGAAAUUGAUGCAUAAGGAUGUUGUGCACUUGUGCUCUGCCUGGAAUACAAUCAUAAAGUUGAAAGUACUAGAGAUUCCUAAAGCAAAGAAACUUUCUUGACCAAUAGGGUAGAUCAAGAAAACAGCAGUAGCAGCUGCAACAGGACUAAUAUCUAGUACAAGUUCUAAAUACAAAAUGUACAAUAAAAUUUUAACAAUUAUCUAAUACACAAUUCGCUUAGCGAUCUCUAAGAUGCGUGGCAAAUAUAUUAUUAUUCCUGUAGCAUGAGAAAAAAGAUUACAAAAACUAUUAAAAGUAUAUUCUAGAUAAUAAAUUCUCAUUAAUUUUAAAAAAAUUGAUUGAUAUACCUCAAAUCACAUCAAAUGAUCCCAUUCCUUCAUCAUCAUCAUCCUCAAACAAGAUCGAUAAUACGAUGUAGCUUAAGAGGAAAUCUACAAAUCAACAAUAUAAAUAUUAUAUAUAAAUAAUAAGAAUAAUAGUCAUUUUUAAAAUACUAAUUGAUAUCACUAAAAUUUAAAAAAAAAUUACUUCUGAUGAAAUUUUGCCACCCAAAGCCCAUCACUGAGUAACACUUAAUGGCUUUAAAAGCACAGAUGAAGCCGAUUCUUUCGAUGUGGCUAAAAUCUACCACUAUGUCUAAAUCGACUCGGAUGCGAAUGGUAGAAAUAGGAAUUGCAAGAUAAUUCUUAGCCAUCAUCAUCAAUGUAGGGACUUGAGGGCGCAUUAACUUUUCCACCCAACCAACCAUUCCCAAAUUAUCUUUCUUUGGUAAAGUAUCCUCCUCUAAAUAUGAUGCGAAUCGGAAUUUAAAGGUUACUAGAUUUUGAUUCUUCUUCUGGCAUCAUACCUUACUUGAUCAAUAAAUAGCAGUAAAAUUCUUCCUGUUAAUCAUACUACCACCGCUACCUUUUCACUAAUAGAAGAAGAAAUGAAUUAGCCAGAUUCACACCAACUUGCCUUGUCCCUCGCUUGUUUCUUUCUUGAUACUCACUAAGGAAUCAUAGCAAUAAUUGUCGAAUUCUAUCAACUUCAUUAUUGACUUCCGACUGUAAAUGGUCGAAAAAUAACAAUCCAAUAGAGAUCAACUUAAUAUUGAUACCAAAAGCAGUUUGCUACCCCAUAAUGCAUGAAUUACAUACCAAUAUUUUCUCAAAUUUUUUUAGCAUUUUUCAAGGGCCAUGAUCUAAUCAUCUCAUUAAGAGUCUACAACCAUUUCAAGUAACUGUCAAUCUAAUAUCCGCACACUUUUUCAAAAAUAGAUUAGCCUGUGGAUAAUCUUGUACCCGAAAAAAUUUCGGUUAACACUAUAAAAAAGUUCGAGUCUCUCACCCAUGUCUACCUGCUACUACACCAAUCGUCUUCUGAAGGCAAGCAGCUGUAUAAUGGCUCACCAAGGUUUCAAGCGUGAAUGAAAACAUCCCUAUAUCACCAAAGCAGAUUGAAGCAUUAAAAACGUGAAUCCCAAUCGCGUUUUACAAUCAAUGACCAAUUUCUUAGUACUUGAAAUGUUCAACUGACGCUGUUUCUACAAACUUUUCCUCUUUUUGUGUGCCUUCCAAAAUGCCAACAUAGCUUGUAUCUCGUAUUUUUCUUCAAGAGCAUCUCCAAUUAUCUGUAAUACCAUCUCUAACAAUUAAAUUAAGAAUAUCGCACGAACAGCUAUGAAAAAAAUGCCCACGCAAACAUAAAAAGAACCUCUUUUCAGCUUAUCCAACAGGAUAUCUAAUAAUACAUCGAUUCCGAAAUGCACGUGUCUACUGUUAGAGUAGAGAGCUUUUUAUCCCCAGAUUCCAAUCAAUAAAUUUGCCAUCAAUACAUUAGUAAGAGUGUAUCAGCAGUUGAUGACAAGGUACAUAGCAAGCCUAAUAUGAAUAAUAAUGAAACGUAACUUUAUGAAUGAAAAAUAAAAAGUAAUACUACUUGCAAUACAAAAUUAAGAAUAUACCUCAACACUCGACUUUGCAACAAUCUAAGUCAUAAUAAAGUGAGCCGUGAUCGCCAUGAGCCUCAUCUUUUUGGUUCUACUGUUCCCCUAUAUCAGUUAAAUAGCAAUUCACUUCGAUUGAUUUCAAUAAUUCAUCGUAUUUUCCUCACAUAAUCAUAAAUUUUAAUAUGUCAUUCUCAUGUAUUCUAAGAAGUAUUUAGAAUUGCCGGUUGAAGAGAACUGAUAUUUACUAAAACCAACAUGCUCUACUAUGGAAAAUUUGGAUAUCAUGCAUAAUAAUCAAUCGCGCUAACAUUCCUCUCGACACCUCUUAGAUCACACAGUAAAAUUGACAAACUCUACUUUCUCUACCACCGAAUUGUUUCUACUUUAGCUUUUUGAUUCACUAUAAUCUUAUAAUGUCUUUAAAUCUGCGCAUUUGGCAUACUUGAGAUUGCGAAGUAAGUGCUGGUGCCAUGUUUUGCAUCUCCGCGCAAUUUUCUUUAACACAAUGAAUUGCCACUUUGGUUUUGUAGCUUCACCAAUUUUUCGCUUUGUUAUUUUAGUGAUUCUACACCAAGGAAGUUCUCUUUUUUUUUAUAUACUUCAUUGGUUCUUCGUUAUCACCGAUCAUAUCACUGGCGUGAUGAUUUGAUCCAAAUUUGUAUAAAUUAUUUGUUAUUUUGUUCUUUGAUGAAAGGUUGAGAAAGCUUUCAUUGGCCGGUUGUGUAACAUUUUUAAUCUUUUUGGUUGUAUAAUUGAGCCUGGCUAAUCAAUCAUAAGAGAGUAAUAAAUUAGAAAAAAAAGAAUCUAAGAUUAGCAAAUAAAACCAAACAGAGUAGCAAUGUUCGUAUCUCUCGCAGCCCCACAAAUCAAAAUACAAUGCAUAAAUUCUAAAAAGAGGUGAGUCAGCACCAAAUCAUGAAGGUGGCCAAAGGGUAUGAGGUUAAGAUUCUAAGGAUUUGGUCUUAUUGGGGGCAGGAAUGCGUGCUGACUAUAUCAUAGGUGCGCGCAUAGUGGUCCGGAUUAAUUACCACACUGUACCAAACCACAUCUACCAAAAAAUAUAGAAGGAUUGCAGGUACCAGCCAAACCUAAAUGAACUAAAUAUACCUGCAUUUACUAAUCAUGAGAACCAUAAUAAUUUCGUUAACAAAACGUGAACUUACAUAUACGAAAUUGCAAAAUUCAACAUUCCAUAAAUAGGAAUCAUCCGAUAAAAUGGGUCCAUCCGUCCUUAGUUUCAUUUACGAUGGUGCUAAUAACUAAUCAACGAUAGUAAUCUCUUCUUUUGUGUGGGCCUUCUUGCAAAAUUAUUCAAAACUUUACUAUUUCGAUUUCUAAUCUUGAAUCACUCAGUCAGAUUUGCUCUUUAUAUAAUGUUAUGACCAGCAUCCAUGUGCAUUUCAAAUCAUUAACUUUAUUUCAGAUCCUCUUAAAUUUAGCUCAGAUACUCUUUCAGUGAAUGCAUGCAUAAUCGAUCAGAAAGAAGAAGGCAAAAAAAGAAAAGAAAAGAAAAGAAAAAUAAAAGAAACAAGAAAAGUAAGGAAGAGAAAAAAGAGAUCUGAGAGGAAAGAGGAGGCCAGGGAUUCCGGAGAUUGAAGUACCUUGAGUACGAGAAAUCGCGAUAGUUGACUCGACGGAUGGGACUGGAGACGCCGGGGCGAGGCGUCUAGAAGCGCUGCGGCGUUGCCGGACUGGACGUCGGCAGCACGACGGGGGAGACUGCGGAGCUCCGGACUGGCAGAAAUUCGAAUCGAAGGGCAGCGUUGUUGGGCUUGUGGCGAAAAUAGCGGAUGGGGCAUAGGGGAAAAGAAAUACGAUUGGGAAUUGGGAUCUGGCAACAGCGAACUUGUGGAUGGGGAAGCGGGAGGGGCCAAAGGGAUUUAGGGUUUAAGUGUUUAUUCGGCCGUUGAUUAGAUUAAAUGUACAAAAAAAGGAAUCAAAUAUAUAUUAUAUAUAAUAUAUAUACUAUAUAUAUAUAUAGAUAUAUGAUAUAUAUAAAUAUAUAUUCGGGUUCGGGUUCGGGUUAGGGUUCGGUUCGGUCGGGUUUAUACAAAAUCCAUACCCGUACCCAUAUCCGUCGGGUUUUUAUUUUUUAUACCCAUACCCGAAUCCAUACCCAUUUAUCUCGGGUAAACCCGCCCCGUUCGGGUUCGGGUUCGGGUAAUUUUUCGGGUAUCCAUACCCAUUGACAUCCCUACUAUCGAUAGGAUUCUAGCUCAACUCUAUAUAUAUAUAUAGUCCAGCUACUAUCCUCAGGAUAGAGGCCUUUGUCUUUCUAAGUCGUUUUAGAUGAUAGGAAUUUCGAAUCGAUGAUCAGAAUCUUUAAAAUUAAUCUAAAGUAUUUAUAACGUCAAAAAACUAUAUUUCAUAAAUUUUAAAAUUCAUUAUCAAGUUUAUUUAAGAGUCGAAAAAUAAACAGUAAAAAACGAAUAACCUUGUGAAAAUAGAUGUUAGACUUUUCCAAUUCAUAAUCGGAGUUAUCAAAUGUUAUCUAAAUAGUAUAAAAAGUUUCUAUCAAAAAUUCAAAUUUAUGGAUUGUUCUACAUAGUAAAACAAACAAACGGCUUAUAUAGGUCGUAAAAAACUAUCGAUUUUGUGAUUCUUUGAUCAAUACGUAAAUAAUUUUUAAAAUUUAUGAAAUUUAGUUUCUCCAUACUUUAAAUACUCUAGAUCAACUUUAACAGUUCCGAUCAUCGAUUUGAAAUUCCUAUCAUUUAAAACGAUUUAAGGGGAUGAAGGCCUCCGUCCUUUUAAAAGGAUAGUAGCUGGAAUAUUUUUUCGCAAACACUUGCAAAACAAAAAAGAACUAAUAAAUUUUUUUUUAAAAAAAUAACACGAUCAUCGCCUUGCAUCCGAGAGUGUAAGCAUGAGUUGAGGAGAGACAAAGAAUCAAAACAAAACACCGCUGCACGUUUAAAACUGCAAGCAAGAAAGCGAUCAUCAUAGGAUCAGCUCCACUGCCAUACUUAUAUUGGUCAAUCCCCUAGAGUCUCUUCGACAGGAGUUUAAAAGAAAAAAAAAAAAAAAAAACGUCCAAGAGUAAAAAUCAAUACAUGAAAACAUAUAAAAUCAUAGCAGUGAGAAAAAAGAAAAAAAAAAAUGUGCACUCCAUAGAAAUAGAUGAAUGGCGGGCCUUCAGAGGAAAAAAAGUAAGAUACCAAAGAAUGUGCACUCUAUAGAAAUACAUAAAUAGUAGGCCUUCAGAGGAAAAAAAAAAACAAGAUUCCAAGGGGAAAAAAGGCAAGAUUUAUUGUUUAAUGACUGCAAUGAAUUUCUGCAAUAAUUAUAGCAUAUUAACAUAAAAGAGACAAACCACCUUGGAUCCCAAAAGAGAAGAUAUGAGAAUGAAACACACCUCAACCUAAUAAAGAAAGAAAACAACAUUAAUUAUCAAUCAAUAUCAACAUCUUUUUAGAAAUAUUAACAUCAAAGAGACAAACCUCUUAGGUCCCAAUAGAGAAUAUAAGAGAAUGAUACCCGAUUCAACCUACCAAAGAAAGAAAUCAACAUCAAUACUAAACAAAUACCAACGUCUCUGCAUUAAGCAUCAAUCAAACAUCAAAUUAUUAAUCUAAAAUAAAAUUGGAAGUAUGUACAAAUCUUCUUCCCUCUCCAGAACCAAAACUAUGGAGAGGAUUUUAGGAAAAUUAGGAGAGAUAUUUAUAGAGUUUGUACUGCACAAGAUCUCAGUAGAAAAAUAGGUAGAAAUUAUUGCUAUUAUAGGUGUUAAUGUAGCUAGGCAAGGCCAUCAUCACAGGCAACUGGAAACCGGCGGCCAAAGGGCUCCCUGCCUCAACCACCGAAGCUAGCAACAGACCCCAUCUCAACCGGAAAUCAGGAAAGCCGAAGCACAAAAGGGCAUAAAAUAAAAGGAAACAAAAAAAAACGACCGAUGGGGGUGGGGGGCAAAGUAGAAGAGGACACAUCACCUCUCGGCCAUUAAUUGGGAGGUCCUUGACAGAUUUUUCUCCGGCAGAGAUCGCACUGCACCGGCUGACGACAUAUCGGAGAGAGAUUAGAGAGAGAGAGAGAGAGGACACAUCACCUGACCAUAAUUAUUUAGGAGAUUCUCACCAGAUUUUUGACCGACGAAGAUCGCUGUGUAGAUACCAGUGAGGAGAUGAGAAAGAUCGAGGAAGAGAGGAGGAGAAAGGUAGGAGAGAGAACGCCGGAGGGAGAUCCUCGCCGGAUCCCCCACCGGUGAAGACCGCGCCGCGAAUCCCGGCGAGGAGAUCAGAGUGAGCACAGAUCCCGGCGGGGAGUUUAGAGAGAGGGGGAGAGAUAAAAGAGAGAGCGCCGGAGAGAAAGGAAACAGAGAGAGUAAUUGAGGAAACGAUACGUCAUUCUCUGAAGGCCCACAUUCGUUUAUUUGUAUGGAUUUAUAAGUUUAACAAUAUGGAACAAUUCAAAUCCAGUAAAAUUUUGAUAGAUUUUUUUUUUUCUAUUUAAAACAAAAGUCGUACAUAUAAUCUGAAAUUGAAUUAUUAUUUUUUAUGAGAUUUGUGUUUUCAGCAACUUAUUUUCAAACUAUUCAUUUUAAAAAUAAAUGAUGUCAAAAAAUUAUAAAGAUUAUUUUAUAAGUACAUCCAAUAGCAUAGAUCACGUAUAGGGGUGUAAUGUGGGCCGUGCCGGCCCGGCACGGUCCACAUUUUCUAGGCCGAAACUGGCUAGGGGCCAGCCCAGACAGGCCCGGUCCGAAUUUAAUUUCGGGCCGUGCCGUGCCAGGCCCAAAUUGUCUACUCUGUGGCCCAGCACGGCCUUUUGGCCCGGAAGGCAUGGGCCGUGUCGGGCCGAGCCGGGCCAUGCUGCGGGUCGUGCCAAUAAGGCCAUUCUUCGAGCCGGCGUAGUAAAAUAUUUAUUUUUAAAUUUUUUUUAAAAAAAUAGUAUGAAAUUUAAAAAUAUAAACAAUCAAUAUUUUUAUUUAAAUUAAUAUUUUGAUUAAAACAUUAAAAAAUUAUAAAAAUAAUUAUACUAAAGUAAAUAUUUAAUUUUUAAAAAAAUAAAUAAUUUUAUAUUAUUUUUUUUAAAAAAAAUGAGAUAGAUUUUGAUCUAAUGGACCAAAAUUCUUUGGUCUAUUGGACCAAAAGGCAGACCUUGGGAGGAGAGCUCUUGGGAAGGAGGGUUCCCUGGGUGCUCAGACCCCAGUUGCCUUGGCCCAUGGGGUCUGGCCCGGCUGGCGGGCUGUGCUAGCCCGGCUGGCAGACCGUGCCGGUCCGCCCGCUUCCCCUCGGCCUGACACGACUCAGGCUCAUUUCGGGCCGUGCCGUGUCGGGCUGUCGGGAUCCAAAGAAGAGGCCCAGCACAGUCCAGAGCCUCGGGCCGGGCCGGCAUGACACGGAUGCUACAGUAUCUGUGCCUUGCUGUAGCCAGGCCCGAGGCCGUGUCAGGUCGGGCGGCCCACGUGCCACCCGGCCCGUUUUACACUCCUAAUAACGUCUAACGGAAUCAAUCAUCAAUUUGAAUAUUUUAUCAUCGAAAUUAAUUUGAUUGUAUGAAUCAAUCAGCAUACGAACACGUACUGUUUAAUAAACAGAUUAAGCGGGUCAAAUCAUUUCUAACUAAAAUCCGUUUAAACUGACUCCGAAUCCGUCCACUUACGUGGCCAGUCGUGUCCGAUCGAAUCCGGGUUGGGUCGGGUCGGGUCGGGUGGAGAAUUGCCAACCCUGUUUAAAUCCGAAGGCUUUAAUAAUCGUGCCGAUCCCACGAGGCCACUUCACUAUUUCCCCUCGCCAUGUUAUCCCGGGUCAAACCCGGUACCAGCACCAUAACCCGCUUCGGCAAAUUUACACAUAAUCCCCUCAAAAAACCUUUCUUCUCCCGCGAAGCCCUCGUCCUCCUCCUCCUCAGAUCGUCCCCGACCCUGACCCUGCCCCUGCUACGCCAACUCCACGCGCUCCUCCUCGUCCAUGGCAGCUCACACGUGCCGCACUCCCAGCUGCUCCGCGCCUACGUCGGCAAUGGCGCCGUCCGAGACGCCCUUCACGUGUUCGACCAUAUGCCCCGAAGAAGCACCUUCGCUUACAACUCCAUCAUCAAGGGCUUUGUUGACCUGGGUCGCUCUUCCGAUGCUUUGUGUUUCUAUAAUGAUAUGAUCAGAGAAGGAUUUAAAGCCGAUAAUUUUACGUACCCGCUUGUUCUUAAAGCGUGCACGGGGGUAUCGGACAUCGAUCGGGGUAGGGAGAUUCAUAAAUGCGUCGAAUUUGAAGGGGUUUUUAGUAGUAAUGUGUUUGUGCGGUGCGCGCUUGUCGACAUGUACGCGAAAUGUGGGAGCUUGGUCGCAGCCCGGGAGGUGUUCAAUGAAAUGCCCGUGAGAGAUUUGGCUACAUGGGGGGCGAUGAUCUGCGGAACCAUGCAAGGUGGGGAUUGGUCUGAGGGCUUAGUUUUGUUCAGGAGGAUGAGAUCCGAAGGGUUUGGGAUCGAUUCCGCGAUCUUGGCGACCGUUAUUCCAGCUUGCGGUAGGUUAGGAGCACCGGGAUUAGGAAUGGCAUUGCAUGGAUUGGUCGUUAAAUUCGGAGUGAUCGGUGAUCUCUGCGUUGCGAAUGCUCUGAUCGAUAUGUAUUGUAAAUGCGGCGACACCCAGAUAGCGGACCGCUUGUUCCGGACUAUGGAGUUCAAGGAUGUUAUCUCUUGGAGUAGCUUAAUUGCCGGAUAUUUACAAAAUAAUGAGUUUGCUAAGAGUUUGGGCCUUUUUGUCGAGAAGAUGGAAUCAGGUUUAACACCGAAUUCCGUGGUGAUCGCAAGCAUCAUGCCUAGUGUUUCCGAGCUGAAGUUGUUCAAACUCGGGAAAGAGAUUCACGGCUAUGCCGUUAGACGAGGACACGAGCGCGAUAGAUUUGUUGCGAGUGCAGUGAUUGGUUUCUACUGCAAAAAUGGUUUAAUGCGAGAAGCGGAAUCCAUUUUCCGAACCGUGUCGGAUGGAGAUAUCGCAAUAGGGAACUCGAUGAUUACGGGAUACGCUCUUCAGGGUGAUCUUGAUUCUGCAACAACCACGCUGCGAAGAAUACAAGAAAUGGGAUUUAGACCCGAUUCUGUAACGAUCGUCUCUGUCCUUCCCCUCUGCAAUCGCUUCACAAUGAUCGACCAAGGCAAGGAGCUGCACGCUUAUGCAACUAGAGCAGAAUUCGGAUCGGUAGUUUCCGUGAAUAAUUCGCUGAUGGAUAUGUACUGCAAAUGUGGGUUUGUUGAAUUCGCGAAGAAGAUAUUUGAUACCAUGACCGAGAGGAAUACAGUGACUUACAACAUCGUAAUCACUGCACUCGGAAUGCACGGUCGAGGAGAAGAGGGGAUUGAGUUCUUCGAUCAUAUGAAGGAACAAAGCAUCGAACCAGAUAAAGUGACUUUUAUAGCUUUACUAUCGGCUUGUAGCCAUGCUAGGCUCCUCGAAAAGGGCUUAUCGUUUUACAAUUUUAUGAUAAAAGAGUAUGGUAUUUGCCCAGAUAAAGAACACUACUCAUGCAUUGUGGAUCUUUAUAGCAGGGCGGGGAGAGUUGACGAUGCGUGGGAUUUUAUUGAGAAAAUGUUAAUCGAACCGGACGUAGAUGUUUUAGGUAGCCUCUUAGGAGCCUGUAGAGUGCAUAAGAGAGUCGACAUUGCGGAGCUUGUAGGCAAACAAAUUUACGAAAGAGGACAUGAAGAUCCUGGUUAUUAUAUUCUGCUAUCGAAUAUAUAUGCGGAUGCUGGGAGAUGGGCCGAUGUGAUGAGGGUGAGAGAAACGAUACUAGAGAAGGGUUUGAAGAAGAAGAAGGCCGGGAAUAGCUGGGUUUAGGCCAGAUGUCGCACCCAUUUCCUCUUGUUAGAAAGGCUGUUUGGAGAAUUCGGUUAAAAACAUGUUGACGGUACUUCAAACACUCUACUCAACUAGUACUUCUGCAGAAGCAAAUCCGGUUCGACUAGAGUAGCAAGUCCUGUAAAAUGAGAUGAGUUCAAUUUCUUCCACGAGUUAAUUGGAGAGGGCGAAUGAAACCGAGGCAGCAAUGACUACGUACAUAGAUGAAGUUAUAUCAGCUGAAUUGUUGGUCAUCUUGGAUUGAACGGAUUCGAUCGUUGCUUACAAUGUUUCUUGAGGGGAUACAAAAAGUGGCAUAGCUAAAUCUAAGGUGAAAAGCUAAAAAUAACACCAUGAGGAGACACUUAAACAGUUUGAUGCUCAAAUUUUAGGGUCUAUUUUGAGAUUUUAAGACCUAUUUUGACACUUAAUAGCUAUCGCUUGUAACAGCAUGCAUGUGGAAACUGAAUAAUAAGUUUUCCGGAGAGCAGGGCGCCAUGCAACUAUGCAUCCGAUUUUCAGGAACCAAGAAGCAGUCUCACUGAAGUACCGGGGUAAGGGGAAAAAAAAGAAAAUUUUCUAAUCUAGAAUCCAAAUUCUACCUCAUUUAUCUAUGAUCUUCUUUUCCCUUUUAAAGUUAUUAUUCAAGAUUUUUUGGUUGCUUAUGGGUGCAAAGCUUCGAGAAUAACAAGGAUUAGAUACAUUAUUCCCAAUUAUAAUUACCAAUUAAAAGAUGAGCUAUCUCUUUCUACUGUGGUAUGCUUUUGUUGUCCUUUUGCUUUGAAUGAGAAAGCCAAUAAAUAGUGCUAUGAGCUUUCACUUCAUUGUAGAUAAAGAUAUGUGGUGCUUUAUGAAAAGGAUGGAAAAAAAAUGUAGUGCCACUAGUUCCACUUACUCUCUCAUACAUGUAUGUUCAUAAUUCUGGGCAUAAAGAAUGAUAUUGAAUUUCGCUAAUUUUGCCUUUGUGAAUCCUUAUAAUUGCUAGAUUUGUUCAAAACCUUGUGUAAGUUUUUAUGCGACUAAUUGCUUCAUUACUAUUAUACACAUGUUAGAACCCACAUCAUAUAAAAUACCCCAUCCCCCUCAAAACACCACUCCAUGUCUAAAGCAGAUUAAUAUAUCCAACACUCUCAAUCUCUCCAUUUUCUUUCUUCAAGUGAGUAAAAAUGGAUGCUUAUGUUGUUGGGUUGAUAUUGGAGACUCUUUUGGUGAUAGUUAUCUCGAAGAUUUGGAGUGUGUUGUUGUACGUGAUGUGGAGGCCAUACAUAAUAACUAAAAAGUUUAGGAAUUGAGGAGAUCAAACGAAUGAAGAAAGGAUGCAUAAGGGGUUGCGGUGGACAUCAACUAACAUGAUUUAACUACAAGUAUUUUGCCCUACUACGCCAAAUGGAUAUCGGAACAUGGUAUGCUAUUCUCUUUUUGAUCCUCUUUCUAUACUAUAUAUGGCAACACAUCAGCAGCCUAUAAUGCUAGCAUUCUAGGGAACCUGUAACACUACUUUUUUUGUAUAAACGCACAGCCUGAAUUCGAAUCCAGAACCUCUUAUUUUAUGGUCAGUACUUUAUCUACAUAUGCUCGUACGCAUUUAUUAUAAGAAAUUUUGUUUCUCUUUGUAGGUGGAACAUUCAACAUUAGGCAGCACCAACCCUGACAUGGUCAAGGAAGUGCUCUCCAACAAAUGUGGUUACUACACCAAGAAUGAUCCGAAUCCACAUUUACAAGCUCUCCUAGGGAAGGGUUUGAUCCUCAUAAAUGGACAAGAUUGGGCUCAUCAUCGCACUGCAUUCACCAUCGACAAGCUCAUGGUCAACUCCCAGUUCCUUCUCUUUUCUUUUAAUUCCAUAGCUAACUCUUCUUGUAAGAGGAAAAGGCUUUCGGCGCAUCUGAACUUCAACGCAAUUCAAGAUUACCACCAUUUGAAUUUUGAAAAUGGUAGAAGACCGCCCAAACUAUAUGAUUUCCUCGUAAAGAUCAGCUAGUGCUCAAUCUCAAUUGCAAUAAAGUUCAAGUGAGUUUGAGACUCUUGAAUUUGUUUACUAGAUAACUAUUCUUAUUAAGAAAAGUAGCUCAGAUCCAUCUGAACUUUAACACUGUGAUUCGGGUGGUUUUUUUGGUCCUUUCUAAAAGUUCGGGUGAUGAUCUCAGAUGGCACUAAGUUUUGUUUCUUAUUACUACCAAAAAAAAAAAAAAAAUCAACCAAACUCUACAGGAAAGUUAAGGAUAUGAUGAAUAUUAUCAACUAACAUUUAGUGUUUUUGCAUGAUAGAUGAUGACGAAGACGAUGGCUCAAAUAGCUCAAUCUAUGAUGGAGAAGUGAGAAGCACAGAUGCUCUGAGAUGAGAACAAGCAAGCAGAAAUAGAUCUAAGCGUGCAAUUUCAGGAGUUGACAGCAGAUGUGAUCUCCCACGCUGCUUUUGGAAGCAGCUAUAGAGAAGGAAAAGAAGUCUUAUCUGGCGCAAGAAGCGCUUCAGAUUCUUGCUGUGGCUAAUAUGCUUGAAGUCCAAGUACCAGGAUUCAAGUUAUAUAUAUCUCUCCCUUCUUUCCUUUUUCGAAAGCCUUCGAAUUCCGUAAACUAGAUAUAACAUGUGGGAUAAAAAUACUUGAAAGUCUUAAGUUACCAAUAACAAUAUGCUAUCUGUGUAAUGAUGAGAUUUUUGCUAUUGUAGCUAUCUUCCUACUCCAAGAAUUUGCAGAAGUGGGAACUAGAAAGGAAAGUGAGGAAUAUGCUCAUGCAAAUAAUUCAAGCUCGAUUCGAAUCGAAGGAGUGCGGCUGCUGAAAUGAUCUGCUCAGCUUGAUGCUAGAGGCUUGCGCAUCGGGCGACGGCUUCGAGAGAAAAGAGAACUGUGGUAUGAACAUGGAUGAGAUCAUCGACGAGUGCAAGACGUUCUUCUUCCGGGGGGCACAAGACGACGUCACAUCUUCUGACUUGGACUGCGUUCCUGCUGUCCACAAACCAAGAAUGGCAGGAGAAGCUCCGGGAGGAGGUGGGGAGAGAGUGUGGAGAGGAAGUUCAUGAUGCAGAUAUGCUUAGCAAGUUGAAAUUGGUAUGCUCACAGGUUUUUCCUUCUUUUGUUUUUCCCUUUUAUCAUAAUAUUUCUAGCAAUUGUAAUAAAUUACCAUUAUGCCAUUAUGCAAAUUACUUGUAGCUGAUAAUGGUUCUCUGAACUUUGACAAAUUUUGACACCCUGAACAUUAAAAAAAACUUCAAUAUUUGCUGUAAAAUAACCUUGUAAAUCCCUUUUUGGAUUAAACUAUCAUCGGUCAGGCAAUAGUUUACAGAAGGGAUAAAAUGGUGUAGGGUUUAGGGUUUAGGCUAAGAACUUAAAUGAGUACAACUCAGCUACUAUAUAUAUAUAUAUAUAUAUAUAUAGAGAGAGAGAGAGAGAGAGAGAGUUGAGCUCCUAUGCCUUUAAAAGCACACCAGCAGUUUUGCUUGUGAUUUUUUAGCCAUCAGAUUACCUCAAUAUAUGUGCAACACUAUUAAUUUUAAUUUUAAAGUUUCAAAUUUCAAAUUUCAAAUUUCAAAUUCCAAAUUUCAAAUUUCAAAUUUAAAACAUAAAAUCUAAUUUACUUUUUAAAUUUUAAAUUUUAAAUUUUAAUUUUAUAUUUUGAAUUUUUAUUUUUAAUUUUUAAAAUUUUAUUUUUAAAUUUUGAAUUUUGAAUUUUGAAUUUUGAGUUUUGAAUUUUGAAUUUUAAAAUUUUAAAAAUUUAAUUGUUAUAAAUACUGCGGAAUUGUAUGAUAUGUAUCCAAACUGCUUAAAAAUGAAGCUGUGGAAUUUUUUUGUAGUUACAGGAUUCCGUAUUUCAUUUAGACCAAAACCAUAGAAUAAAAAUUCCAUGGAGUUUUUUAACUAUGCAUCCAAACAGGGCCUAAGACUGUAUGGUCCCUGUGCCCCACAUACAAAGAAAAGCAGGCUAAGGGCAUGGAACUGGGAGGCAUAAAAAUCCCCAAAGACACCAUGCUCGCGAUACCGAUCAUGAUGAUCCACCGGGACAAGGAGCUUUGGGGCCCCGACGCCAACGAGUUCGAUCCGUCGAGGUUCGUGAACAGCAUCGCGAAGGCCGCGAAGCAUCCGAGCGCGCUCCUGCCGUUCUCGAUCGGGCCGAGGUCGUGCAUCGGUAAGAACUUCGCAAUGCUGGAGGCGAAGACUGUGCUCGCCGUGCUGCUGCAGAGGUUCUCAUUCUCCAUCUCUCCGAAAUACGUGCAUGCGCCGAACAACUUGCUAACUCUGCAACCAAAAUAUGGGCUUCCUGUAAUCUUAAAACCCCUUAUGUCUAAGACCUAUAUAUAUAUAUAUAUAUAUAUAUAUAUAUAUAUAUAUAUAUAUAUAUAUAUAUAUAUAUAUAUAUAUAUAUAUAUAUAUAUAUAUAUAUAUAUAUAUAUAUAUAUAUAUAUAUAUGUAUAUAUAUAUGAAUGUUAGGUGUAAUAGCUUGUUAUAUGUUUGCUAUGAGUGGUUUUUGGAUUUGUUGCCUUCCUAGCUUGAAGGCCCAACUAUAUGUUUGAGACCGUUGUGUUGAGAUUUUAUGUACAUGUAGAUGUCACUAUUUUGCAUAUAUUUCUUCUGGUAUAUAUUUAGUAGUUAGUAGGUGUGACCUUGUUCAUAUUAGAAUCCGCCUCAUAAGAACUACUUUUAGCUGCAAAAGCUUUUGCAAACAACUCUACUUAAACAGCACAUACUUAAAGGCGAUUCUCCUCUACAAGUGUUAGGGGAUCGGAGAAUGCUCUAUCAUUAACAAUGUGCUUAAAAAAUAAAUGGUAAUCCAAAACAUAGAAGAUGCUGCAGAUAUGUUAUGCUCAGAAGUCAAUCAUCUUAAAAUAUGUCUAAAUUAGGUCAAGAAGAUUGCAAUCGAUUUUGGUUCCACUUUAAAAACAAGCCAGUUUCGAACCUAUCGCGCACAUCGAAAUAGACCUUCAUAUCAGAAGAAGAGCGAACAAUUUGAAUCUUCUGCUUCUAGCUUUCUCAGAAAGAGAGAUGAUCUUCAUAAAAAUGUAGAAACGGCUAUUGCUCGUCAUUCGUCUUGCGAAAGCCCGACCAAACUUGUCGAUCGGUGAAAAACUGCCCUUCACUUCACGAUUUCACUUCAGUACGGCAGCGAUUUUUACCAGUAAUCUCCGCACGAACAUGACCCACUUGCGAAACGAUGGAACCGAUUCGUAUCUCUAAGAACAAUCUCCCGACCAAGGGACCCCGAAACGAUCUUCAUCACCGCAUGGCAGUCUCCGCAGGUCCUCAGGUUCUUCUUGAUACAGAUCGGCGCGUUUUUGGGCAAGCUCAUCACUCCAAACGUGAGCGCGAGUCUCUCGCUGUGGUACCACAAGUUCUUCUCCUUGUACUCCCCCACGUCAUUCACCGCAUACCGCGUAUCCGCUACGUAUCCCCUCUCUUUCACCAGCUUCUCGAUCUUGCUCAACGUGUCGUAAAUCUCUUCGCUCCUCUGAUGCGAUUGGUCGUGCACGGUGAACACGUAAGUAGCGUCUUUAACGUCGAUCCAACUGCAUCCGAUCUCCUUUUUCACACCGUUCGAGCCCAUCAAUCUCCUCACCUCCUUCGCCUCCUCCAACAUCCCUUUCGACGCGUACAUGUUAGAGAGCAACACAUAGUUCCCAGGAUUAUGAGGCUCCAUCACGAACAACUUGUGCGCGACCUCUCUACCUAGUUCUAAGUCCCCGCGAUUUCUACAAGCGCCGAGCAAAGCUCCCCACACCGACACGUCCGGCUCGAUCGGCAUUGUCUCUACGAACCGCUUGGCCUCAUCCAAACGGCCCGCUCGGCCGAGCAUAUCGACCACACAAGCGUAGUGCUCGCUACCCGGCUCCAUGUUAUAAGUCCGAGACAUGGAAUCAAAGUGCAUGAGACCCUGCUCUACGAGCCCGUUGUGGCUGCACGCGGAGAGAACACAUACGAAGGUAAUAUAAUCCGGUUCGAUUCCCUUCUCUAACAUUUCAUCGAAUAGUUGUAGAACACGGUCGCCGUGCCCGUGUUGUUGAAACGCGGCGAUCAUCGAAGUCCACGACACCACAUUGAGCUGAUCCUUGGUCUCCUCAAACACUCGGUACGCAUCGUCUAACCUGCCGCACUUUGCGUACGUAGUAAUUAGUGAGCUCCCGACGCAGCGGUUUUCGCUAAAGCCCGAUUUUACGAUCACGGCAAGAAGCAUCGCGCCCUGCGCCCACACCGCGAGCCCCGCCGCAGCGUGGAGCGCGGUCGAGAACGAGGCCUCGUCCGGGAGGACACGCUCGCGGAGUAUGGAUCGGAAGCAGCCCACAGCUUCUUCGAACCGAUCCUUCCGUGCCCAGCCCAUGAUCAGGAUGUUCCAGGCAACCACGUCUCUGUCGCGCAUUUCGUCGAACACCUGCGCGGCGUCGUCGGAGCGCCCGCAUUUGCCGUACAUGUCGAGGAGCGCGUUCGCGACGCAGGCCGAGGAGGGCGCGAGCCCGAGCUUGGCCGCGCACCCGUGGACGCGGCGGCCGAGGCAGAGCGCGCCGGCGCCGGCGCACGCGGCGAGGGAGCUCGAGAGGCUCACCUCGUCGGGGGCGAAGGAGCCCUCACGGGCCAACUCCAUGAAGGUCCUUAUAGCGUCGGCGUAGAGGCUGUUCCGCACGUAGCCCACGAUGAGCGCGUUCCAGGAGACGAGGCUCCUCUCGGGCAUUUCAUCGAACACCUUCCGCGCGGCGUCCGCGUCGCCGUGCUUGGCGUAGGCGUCGACCAGCGCGCGGGCGCGGGCUCGGGCGCAGGCGCGGAGCGCGGCGGAGAGGGCGUGGGGAUUGGGGCGGAGGCCGCGGGCGCGGAGCUCGGCGAAGAGGGCGAGGGCUUGGGCGGGGUCGGCGUGGUGGGCGAUGAGGCAGGUGAAGGAGACGACGUUGGGGACGCUCCGCGGUGAGCCGAGGAGGGCGCGCACGGCGUGGUCGCCAUGGCCGCGCGCGGCGUAGAGGUGGAGGAGUUGGGUGAGGAGGACGGGGUGGGCGACGAGGUUGGAGACGACGAGUUGGGCGUGGAUUUGAGCCCCGUGGCUCCGGUUCGGGUUCGGAUUUAAAUUCGGGUCCGAAUCCGCAUCCGGGUUUGGAUUCGGGUUCCGGAUUAAGGUGGUAACAAGGGUGGUUAAAUAGUUAAAAGUGUAAGGGGAUUUUCGCGAAAUGUAUCUCCCUGGUUGUGGGGUUCUUUGGGGACUCAUUUGUGCCCGUUUGUGUGUGAUUUGCGAAUUGCGAUAGAUUUGGAGCAUUUGAAAGUGUGAGAGCUUUUACAUAUAUAACCCUGCACAAUUAUUUAUUUACAAAUACAUUGUUGUGAUGUUUAAAUUUUGGUACAUGCAUACCUUUUAUAACUUUUUGGAUUAAUUAAUCCUUUAUUAAGGCUUAAUUAUACUAUACUAAACUAUAUUUUAAGAUCUUUUUCAUUCUUUACACAAUAUUAUUAUUAUUAUUUAAAGUACUGGUUGAAAAUAACAGAGUAUAUAUUUAGCUCAUUUUGAUAAAUAAAAGGACAAAAGAAAAAGAACAUUUAGAAAUAGCAAAAAAAAUAGUUAAAACCUCUGCAUAAAAUUUAACUUUCAACUAUAAAUCUAUUUUGAAGGCUUUUUUUUUUUCCUACAAUCUAACUAGCGCCUUUCAAUUAAUAGAGUUGUUAAUUUCGGUCUAAAAGAGUAAUUAAAUUUAUUGGCACUAGUGUAGCAUUGGCGAGAAAAUAAUAGUUUAGUAAUAUCAUUAAGAAAAAUAGAAGAUAAAGCAUGAUAGCAAAUAAAAAUAAAUCCAAAUUAAUAUAGAAAUUGAUGAAAUAAUAAUAAUAAUAUUAAAAAUCUAGCGUGACUCGAACUCAGAAUCUCUUGCUCUGAUACUGUAUUAAAUAAUAUAAAGCAACCGUUAUUCUCUANAGAAAAAUAGAAGAUAAAGCAUGAUAGCAAAUAAAAAUAAAUCCAAAUUAAUAUAGAAAUUGAUGAAAUAAUAAUAAUAACAAUUUGAUGAUGUGUUUUGAAAAAAAAAAAGAAAAGAAAGGUACAGCGUAGCAAACGAAAAUAAAAAAAAAAGUUACGAGCUUAAUCACUCUAUUUUUAAACAAGUAUGCGAUCGAAACGGCCAUGAUCUCUUAAUCGACAAUCUGUGAUACCAAUCAACUGCACUAAAUAGUGGUGGCUUGUGACAAGUAUUGGUUCUUAAAUGCCGAGAGAUAUCAAGAUUUAAUGAACUUUUCAUCUAUAAAAAAGGAUUAGUAUAGAGAUAUAAUUUGUAAAAUAUUUCUACCUAUCUUUCAGGUCUUAAGGAUAUGUAGAGCUUUUGAUUUGGUUUGAUUACAUUUUAUAUUUUAUUUUAUAUGUUAUAAUCUUUUACCAACAUCUACUAGCACUAAUAUGUUUUUUAGAGAAAGAGAAAAAUUACAAGUUAUCCACUUCGUUUAUCUUUUAAAAAAUGAACCCAGCUAAAAAUGUGAAGUAAUUAAAUUUCAAAUUUAGGACGGUAAGAUAGCUGGUGCUAUCCAUUAAAAAAUAUAAAUUAAACUAGAAAUGAAAAGCAAUGAGGCUCCGAAUUUGGGACUAUAUAUAGAAACCUUAGCGCUAAUCAUUACUUUUAAAAGCUUAAUUUAUUAGACAAAUUAAACUAAUUUGCUUAAAAAAUACAAAUAUAGCACCAUCGGAUCUCGAUUGUAACUCUGCCCAACCUGGCCUCCUAUUAUGAGGCAGAAGUGCAGGUCUCUUUAAGCCAAUAAUCUCUUCUCCUCUCCCUCCCUAAUUAUCACAGUGCAUGUACAAAUUUAUAGUACGUGGGAAUCGACCCCCUCCCCCCCAAACUACUAUAGUACCUACACAAAUUUGUAGCAUGUAGAAAUCGAACCCGUAAAAUUUGGCUUUGAUACUACUUAUAGAAUCACUGGCGCUAAUCGUUAAUUACAAAGGCUUGAACUAUUAGAAAAAUACAAGCAAUUCACUUAAGGGUUGCUUGGUUAGAUUUAAUAAGAAAUGCAAUAUAGUUGGAGAUGUAUGCAGUUGAAAAUGCAUCGUACAUUUUGUUUGAUUGGAUGUUAUAGAAAAAGCUGCAAUUAUAAAUAAUUUUUUUGGCUGCAUGCAAUGAGAAGUGCAUUUUUAAAAUUUCAUCACUUUAGAUAUAUAGUGGUGAGAUUACCUCCAAUAGAGAAUAGAGACAGUCGAUGACAAAUUGUUAAUGUAGAAGAAAAGUAAAAGUAGCGUGAUUGAUAAUGCAACAAUAAUUAAAAUGCUAUAUCACUUUUAUAUCAACGAUUCGUCAAUAUUUAAUCAACUAAAUUGAAUUGUAAAACUUAAUUAUAAUAAUUUGAAAAGUUUGAAUCUGAAAUUGUAAAAAAUUAAAAUUUAUGGACUAAACGUGCAAUUUACUCUCUAUAUUAAGACUAAAUUAUAGAAAACCCUCCUAUAAAUGAAAAUAUAUACUUUUUCACUUUCCUCCCUAACCUUCAAAAGCUAUAUUUUACCUCCUUAAUAUUUUAACCCCCGUUAGGGUUCCAUCACUUUCUUUCUAUUUCUUAUAAUUUAUACCAAAAAUACCAUUCAAACUGAGAGAAAUAUAUUAAAAAAUUAUUUUUUUCUUAUAAAAGAAGUAAGGAUAAUUUGAUCAUUUUGCCCUCUCUAUUAACGCAGUAUCCGGCCCCCUGAAAAUAUUUCGAAAAUUUUAAAAAGGCAGAAUGUAGAUUUUUUGAAAGUUAGAUUAAAAUAUAUAUAUAUAUAUAUAUAUAUAUACUAGUAGAGUGCACGUGCAAUGCACGUCAUAUAUUUAAAAAAAUAAUUUUUUUUUCAAAAUAAUUAAGAUGGGAGAUGAUUGAUAUGUAAUAUAUAAUUUUUAAAUAAAUUAUUAGUGAAUAUUUAUAAUUUAAUAAUUUUAUUAUAUUUGCAUAAGAUAGUAAAAAAAAUAUUGUCCAAUUGAUCAUAUAGAUAAAUUAAAUUUUAGAUCUCUAUAUCUAGCAACAAAAAAUUUUCUUUUAUACUAUUUAUAAAAGAGCUACUUUUUUUGGCAAGACAUUUAUAUCCAAAAUCACUUUAAUUGUAUAAAUCAUACCAAAAAUAAUUUAAGUCAUGCAAACCUUUUAUACAAAAAAUAAUUUAGGUCAUACAAUUCAUUCAGUUUCAUUUUGCAUUCAAAAGCUUUAAUACUUAAACCCUUUAAUGAAUACAAAUCAUAUUAUUUAUUAUGAUAAAAAAAUAUCUGAAAGUUCUCAAUCUUUGAGCCAUUUAUGAAUCAGCCCCUUAAUUUUUUUUUGCUAAUAAAUUAUAGAUGAAAUAUUUAACAAUUUACAUACUAAAAUAAUUCAAACAAAAUUUAGAAUCAAAUAAUAUCCAAAACAUUAUUGAUUAUAAAAUCUCCAUGAAAUAUUCUUUUUCUACAUAUUAUUUAGUUUCCAUGCAAACCUUCCACAUUAGAUAUCUGUUUAAUUGAUUAAAAAUUAUAUAAUUUAUUUAAAUAAAAAUGUACGAACUCUCCUCAUCUUUUGUAAUUUAUCUCCUAAUUUUUUUUUAUUAACUUACACAUAACUACUAAUUUAGCUAAAUAAACUAAAAUUUUAAUCAAUUUUUUAUAAAUUGUAUAGAUAAUAGAGUGUAAAUCUUUUCGAAUUCAUAUGAUUAUUGCAUUUUUCGAAUUUUAAAAUGCAAAUCUUUUCAAAUCUACAUAAUUCUUUUGUUGUUUCAAUUUUUAAUUUUAUUUUACAAAUCGAGUAUACAUGAUCAUUUUCUCAAUAUGUGCAUUUUAAAUCAUAAAUAAAUUUUUUCUGAAUCUAUACAUUUUUUUAAAAUCUUUUUCUUCGUGUAUAGUAAUAUAUUUUGAUCAUAUUAGUUUUUUAUGACCUAUUUAAAAUUUAAAGGUUGUUAAUAUUUUAUUUUUUAAAAUUUUAAAAUAAUAUUAUAUUAUUUUUCAAUAAAUAAAUUAUGUAAUGGCUAUAUAUUUUCAUUUAUUAUAAUUUUGAAUUACUAUAUUAUUUUGAGUUUUUUUUCUAAUAAUAUUUUAAAAAAAUUAUUUGUAAAAAAAAUUAUUAGUGUUUGGUUUUUAAGUUUUCGUGGGUCUUAAUCUACGUCUAUUAAAGGUUUGAAAAAAUUAGUUUUUUUUUAAAAAAAUUAAAAGUUAUACGUUUAGUUUUUCAAAAAUUUUAAACAAUAUAUAUUAUAUUUUUAAUAUUUUAUGCAACGUAUAUUUCAUGUACACUUAGCUAGUAAAUCUAAAUUAGAAAUUAAACUAAAGAAUUAGUUAUAACUUGAGAAUAUCGGGUAGCACAAAAAACCUUUCCAAUUGUCGGAAAAAUGAUUGUUUCGGUGAGUAGGAUGACGAUGAAAUGCUGGCAAAAGUUACAAUGAACAUGUGCUAGUGAACGCGACAAUGAUCAGUGAAAGUGAUGAUGAUGAUGUUUUGCCGCCGGUGAGGACAACAGCGAUGUGUUGGAAGGACGAUGACUUACGCAAUUAAUAUGAAAGAUAAAAAUAUCAUGACAAUGCAAAUCUAUUAGCAUUUAAAAAUCUUAAAAAGUAAAACAAAGUGUACAAAAGACGAAUUAAGUAGAAAAUUAUAUUAUGACACAUUAAAAUGAAUUAGGUGGAGCCAAAAUAUCUUUCCAAUUGUAGCGAUGGCGAUCGUGGACGAUGAUAAGAAACAAAUAAAAUAUUACUAAAAUAAUAUAUUUGAGAAAACGUAAAGUAAAAAUAAAAAAGGUUAUGAUUUAUAUUUAUGAAACAUAUAGAUGGAGAUGAGAAAGUAUUAGAAAAAAGAUAUGAUAACUAUUAUGAUGAGAUAAAAUUGGAAAAGUGAGGAAAAUUUUAUAUGUGAGGGUAUUAAGAUUUUAUCUAUAUUAUGCGUAGAUGGCGGGCGGGUAUACACGAUAGAAAUAUUAAAUAUUUUACUAUAUUUUUCGAUUUCUAAUAAAUUGAAAAUUUGAAUAUACAUAUUUUAAAGUAAAAAUAUUAAAAUGUUAAUAAUAUUUAAUUUUAAAAAUUAAAAUUUAAUUCGAUCCACUUUAAGAUUUAAAUUUUAAAAUUUUUAAAAUUUUUUAAAAAUUUUAGUAAAAAAAGAUAGAAACAUUUUUCAGAAAGAAUUUUAUGUUUAAUUCAAAACUCAAAUUUUAAUUUUGAUCCACUUUCAGAUUUAAAUUCAAAUUCAGAUAUUAUAUGUUUCUGACAAAUUCAAAAUUUAAUGGAUUAUUUGAGAUGAAUGGUUCAAAAUUUCUGGACAUGAAAAAAUUAAUUAAAAAGAUAAAGACAUUUUCAUAAUAAAAUUUAUGUUUAAUUUAAAAUUUAAAAUUUAAUUUUGAUCCAUUUUAAUAUUUAAAUUCAAAUGCGAGGAUAUGUAUAAUUCAAAAUUAUGAUAGGUUGAGAGAAUUUUUAAGAAUGAGAAAAGAUUAAAAUUUUGAUAAGAUAUUUGAGAAACAUGUAGAUAUUCUGUGGAUUAAUGAGAUAUUUGAGAAAUUCACAAAUAUUAUGUUGAGAAAAAUUGGCGGAUAUUAUGUAUGAGAAGGAAAAUAUUUAAGAAACGCGUAGAUAAUGUAAGGACUGAGAUUUUUACAGUGCAAUUAAACUCUCUGUUGAUGAUGUUUAUGUGUGUAAAUUAAUUACAUAAGCACUCGUCAAGUUUCAGGAGAAACUGAGCUAAAACGGAGAAGUUACGCGAUUAUUAGUUUUCACUUAAGUGAAUAGUAACUCCGGUUUUUCGGUGAAGCCACGGAGUAGAGCUGGCUUUCGGCGCGUAUCGGACUCCGUUCAUAGCGAUCCAAUAGCUCGUUUUGAAUGGUUCAGCUAUUCUGGAACCAAUGGCACUGACGGAUUUUAGAUCUGAUGCACGAUUUUCGAGAAAAUCUGAAAAUACAUGUUUCUUAUGUAAUUGUGCACCUUUUUGGCCUUUUGGAGAGAGAUUGGAUUUCGUCGUGAAUCGGAGAUCAAAUCUGACGAAACGAAAUGCUAGAUUCGAUGCCUCGACGUGCUGAACGCGUUGGCCUGAUCCGAUCAGAAAUCCGAUGGACGGAUCUUUGGGAAUUGCAAUAAGUUCGCUAAGGGGUCGAGAGUGGAAAAUCGGGAAAUUCGCAAAAGUCGUAAUAUUUUAUGUACCGAAUCACGCGAGAUCGAUUGUGGAGGUGCAAAAGCGCGAGAGUUACCCAUUGUGAGGGACUAGGGUUGAAAUUUGUAAUUCAGGUGGACUUUUGUGCAAUUUGCACAUUGCAUACAAUGUGCAUCUAGGGUUCUUUUGCAAGGAACCCUAGAUCUAGCCGACCUAGUUCCCCAACCGUGCCCUAGAUAGCUCCAGUAGGUCCCUGCCCUACCUACGCUCGUGCCCAGACCUCCGGCGAGCAACUCCGGCCGCCGGAAAACUCAUGGUCAUCUUCCUUUCCACCCUCUCGGCCUGAGUACACAGGGAAACGCGCGAAGCCCGAGGAUCCUUCACCCUGUGGCAGAGAGUUACCUCCGGCNAUAUAUAUAUAUAUAUAUAUAUAUAUAUAUAUAUAUAUUUAUAAAAAAUUUUCUGUAAUUGAAUCUUAUAUUAAUUGUAUAAAUAUUUUAUCCUCGAGAGUCCAACUACUAUAUUCUUAUGAGUACGAUCGCCCUCGUACUCAUAAGCCGUUUUUGAUGAUAGAGCUUUCGAAUUGACAAUCCAUACCGUUAAAUAUUAUCUAGAGCAUUUAAAAUUUUUAAAAAUCAAAUUUCAUAAUUUUUCGACAUCAUUUACCUUACGAUCAAAAUGUCACAAAAUUGACAAUUUUUAACGGCCGGUAUGAGAUAUUUAUUAGUUUAACGGUGUAAAAGAAUUAGAAUAGAUUGAAUUUUUGAUAAAAAUUUCUAUUCCGUACCUAAAUAAAGAUCAAUAACUCCGAUCUUAAAUUGAAGGAUCCGAUCAUCUAUUUUUAGAAUGUCGUUCGAUUUUGACCGUUUAUUUUAUGCCUAUUUGAUAGACUCUUAAAAGUUUCAAAUAGUUUAGAUCAUAUUUAACAAAGUGGAUCACCGAAAACUCUAUCAUCAAAAAUAAUUUAUGAGUACGAAAAAUUUUAUACUCAUAAGAGUAUCCUGAUACCAAAAAAAGCCUUAGAAAUAUACGUACACGGCCACCAAAAAAAAAUUUCAUAUACAAGCCCUGCUUCAGAUCACGCAUCUAAAGUCAACGUCCCACGUGAUGCCACGUGGCCACGAGAUGCCCGCCUACGGUGUUGGAUCGUUAAAAUAACGCACGUGCUCCCCACGUGGGUGCAUUUAUAUACACUAAUUUAAUACUAUAUAUAAAAAUAUAUACGUAUUUUGAAUUUGAAUAUUUUCACUAUGCACAAUAAAUAGCAUUUUUAAUACCUCUUUUUCUUUACAUUUUUUUAUUAAAUAUUUUUUUUUGCGAUUGAAUAUUUUCAGAUUAUUUCAAUAUUAUUUACUAAUAUGUAGUUGUAUUAUUUUCUUUUUUGAUAACUAUGUAGGAUCUAUAUCAACAAACUUAUUUGACUCAAAAGAAUCCUAUGUCUUAUUAUAUAAUUUAAUGGUCGUUUCACAUCAUUUCAGGCUUGUUUGUUUCACCGAAGAUAAAGCUCAGAUUGGGAUCGAUUUUCAAAUAAACUAGAGUUCAUGCUAAAAUUUACUUUUCUUUUGAUUUUUGUUUGCGUAGCUGUAGAAAUGAAGUUUUAAAAGCCGGAGGUAUGAGAGAUAAAUUAAAAUUUUAUUAUUUUUUUCACACUUUUCUUUAGUAACUGGCUUUCAUCUUAUUUGAGAUGGGUCGAAGUCAAUUACGCUAUUUUGUGAAGUUUGAGUUUCAACUCAAAAUAAAUCUAGUUACGAUGAAAUACCAAACAACAAAAAUGAACAUUUAGGGUUGAAUAAAACCAUUUUACCUCUCUGUUGGGUGGGAUCCUAAUGGUCAAAAUUAAGGCAUAAUUUAAAUAUUAAAAAAUAAAACAAGGAGUUAAGAUUGAAACAACGAGAUUAAAACAGUAAAAAUUGGAGGUAUGAAAGAUGAAUUAAGAUUUUAUUAUUUUUUCUUUUUUUUUUGUGUAAUUUACUUUGGUUAGAUCUGAAAUGGACUGAAAUCAAUUACACCAUUUUCUGGAGUUUGAGUUUCGACCCAAGAUAAAUCUAGUGACGAUGAAAUACCAAAUAACAAAAAUGAACAUUUAGGAAAAUUAUUUCAUCUCUCUAAUGCGUGGGAUUCUAAUGGUCAAAAUUAAAACGCAAUUUAAAUAUUAAAAAAUUAAAGUAAGGAAUUAAGGUUGAAACAAUAAGAUUAAAACAGUAAAAAUUGGAGGUACCAAAGAUGAAUUAAGAUUUUUUUUAUUUUUUAUUUUUUGUAGUAACUAGCUUUGGUCAGAUCUGAAAUGGGCUGAAGUCAAUUACGCUAUUUUCUAGAGUUUGAGUUUUGACUCAAGAUAUUUCUAGUGUCGAUGAACAAAACUAAAGGUAAAUCUAGUGUCGAUGAAAUACCAAACAACGAAAGUGAAUAUUUAUGGUCGAAAACUAUUUCAUCUCUCUGAUGUGUGGGAUUCUAAUGGUCAAAAUUAAAACACAAUUUAAAUAUUAAAAAAUUAAAGUAAGGAGUUAAGGUUGAAACAACAAGAUUAAAACAGUAAAAACUGGAGGUAUUAUUGAUGAAUUAAGAUUUUAUUAUUUUUUUCUUUUUUUUCGUAAUUGACUUUGAUCAGAUCUAAAAUGGGCUGAAAUCAAUUACGCUAUUUUCUGAAGUUUGAAUUUCGACUCAAAGUAAAUCUAGUUAAGGUGAAACAUCAAACAACAAAAGUGAACAUUUAGGGUCGAAAAUUAUUUCAUCUCUCUAAUGAGUGGGAUUCUAAUGGUCACAAUUAAAACACAAUUUAAAUAUUAAAAAAUUAAAGUAAGGAGUUAAGAUUGAAACAACAAGAUUAAAAUAGUAAAAACUGGAGGUGUGGAAGAUGAAUUAAGAUUUUUGUUAUCUUUUCUCUUUUUUUUCAUAAUUGGCUUUGGUGAGAUCUGAAUAGGCUGAAGUUAAUUACGCUAUUUUCUGGAGUUUGAGCUUCAACUCAAGAUAAAUCUAGUGACAAUGAAAUACCAAAUUAAGGGAUAAUUUAAAUAUUAAAAAAAUGAGUAGGAUCCCACUGGUCAAAAUUAAGGGAUAAUUUAAAUAUUAAAAAAAAUUAAAGCAAGGACUAGAUUAAAACAGUAAAACAAGAGAUGAAUUAAAAUUUUAUAUUUUUUUUUCAUUUUUUUCAGUUAGAUCUAAGAUGGACUGAAGUUAAUUACGCUAUUGAUGAGUCAAAUCCUAAUGGUCAAAAAAUUAAGAUAUAAUUUUAAAAAAAUUUAAAAAAUGAAAAAAAAUAAAACAGGGAGUUAAGAUUAAGAGAAGAAGAUUAAAACAAAAGGUGAAACAAACCAACAUAAUAAAACAAAAUAAAAGCUAAGUGUAAAUAUUAAAAUAGUUUUUUUUAAAAAAAUAGAAUUAAAAAAAAAAAAAAAAAAUCUGUGGAAUGCUGUGCUUUGGAAGCAUCGGAUUCCGGCAUCCAGCUGGGGUGGGGUGGAAACUGGCAAGGCCGGCAGCUCAACGUGCAAACCCAAGCUGUAACGUGGGUCCCACACAGCGAAGCACACGUACUGUAUAAGAAAUAAUAUAUAACUAUAAAUUUCAUUUUCAAAAUCAUAGGAGUUUAAAAAUAUUUAAAUUAAAAAAAAAUCAAUAAGGGCAUUUUGAUCGACCAGGGAAUAUAUUGUAUAUUUCUGAAGUUCUCAAGGAUCGAUGUAUUUUAAAUAUUAUUCCUAAAUAUAAAUAAAUAAAUAUAUAUAUAUAUAUAUAAUAUAUUUUUUUUUUUUUGUUUGAACCAAAUCGGAUUGUUGGGUGCCACCUUGAACAGGCUCAAAUCCUCCAAAUAAUUAUAUAAUUUUUUUUUCUGUUUGUACCUGAACCGAACCUGAUCAAUUUGCUUUAUUGGAUCGAAUCAAUUAUUCUAUAUAUUUUCAUCUUUGAAUUAGAUUUUUUUUUUAAUUAUCUAAACCAAACCAAUAAUGCUGAACUGGAUCAAACUUCAUUAGAUCGAACCAAACCAAUUGCUCUACAUAUUUCUAUCUUUGAACCAGAUUUUUUUUUUAAUUUUUCUGAACCGAAUUAGUAAUUAUUGAAUAAGUGCUCCAUCCUGAACUAGCUCAAGUUCUCUUUUUUUUUUUGGCUUGAACAGAACCAAAUUUCUUUUCUUUACUUGAAUCGAACCGGUGCCCUCUUUCUUGCUUGAACCGAGCUCGGUCAAAUUUUUUGCCCUUUUUCACUUCUCUUUGUUUUUAUAGAAAUUUUCAUUAAGGACUUUUUUUAGAAAAAAAAAAUUUAACUGAUAUUUGUAUUAAUUUAUUAUUAAUAUUGAUAUAAAUAUAUAUGAUGAUAAAGUAUAUUUAGCAAAUACGUAAUAUCUUCAUUUAUUUUUAAACUAUUGACUUAUACAUACAUAUUGCCUACACAUUUAAAUAAUUUAUAAUCAAUAAUAUAUAAAUUACUUAAAAAUUUAUUUAAAAAAUAUAUCAUUAAUAUUUUUUAUUUUUUUUUAAAUUUUUUGCUCGUCGCAUUGUACGCGGUAUUACACUAGUAGUGCAUGAAAUGUGCAAGUGACCCUAAACAAUUUACCCCUCUAUAAAUACUCUUCUUGCUCUCUCUCUCUCUCUCUCUCUCUAAGGCCUCUCUCUCUUUAUAAGUUCUCUCUCUCUCUAUAAGUUCUCUCUCUCUUUCUCUCUCUUACUCUAGUAAAUCAUAUAUAGCAAUUAAUUGUGGUUUCAAAAGGAUAAACAUAUAUAUAUAAGAUCAAACUAAAUGGCAAGUGAGGGCACACUCACCUGUGUAGAGAUCCUACUUGCAAUCUUUCUCCCACCCCUUGGAGUUUUCCUUAAGUAUGAAUGCAAGGUAUGUAUAUUUAUAUGUGCGUGUGUGUGUAUAUAUAUAUAUGUAUACAUACAAAUUAAGUAAUAUUUACAUGUAAUUUUCUUAUAUAGAUCGAUAGUGUGCGUGAUAUAUGCAUGAUUCAUCUGAUCUUCACCAUGUACAUGAUGGACAUGAGCGAAAAUAUUAAUUCACAUGAUCUUUUCUACGAAAGUUAACACUUAAUUCGUCCUUAAAACUUUCACUUAUGUUAAAGAAACUUGACUUUUCCUGUAAAAAUUUAGAGACCAAGUUAUAUAGAUCCUAAUUAAUUUAUCAAUUUUUAUUGAAUAUAAGACCCACAAUAAUUAAUUAGUUUAAUCUUUGCUUUUGCAGAUUUAUUUUUUUUUUUCCCCCAAAAAAUUGCAAUAUUCUCACUCAUAUAUAAAUUUAUUGACAUAUGAUUAUUAUUAACUCUUAUUUUUAUUUUUUUGCUCUAUUUUUUUUUUCAAAAAAAAUAUUUAUAGGUUGAGUUCUGGAUCUGCUUGUUGCUGACCUUCCUCAUGUUCUUACCUGGAAUGAUCUAUGCCAUUUGGGUCAUCACCAAGUAAUUAAAUUUACUUUUUUUUUUUUUGAAUUUGGUCUUAUAUAUUAAUUAGUUGUAGAAAAUAAAGAGAUAAUUAUUUAAUUAAGCUGUUUAUUUCUUUUUGCAGGAAAUAGUUAUAUAUGGUGAUGGUGAAAAUAUAUAUAUAUAUAUAGGUUGCAUGGUGUUUGCACUAUAAAGCUUGUAAUUUAAUAAGUGGUUUUGUAUGACUUUAAUUUAUUUAUAUUUCUUAGGUUAUUAAUGUGUGGAGAGGUUAACUAAUUUUAUUCUGUGUGGAUUUAUAUGUAUCAUUAUUCAUGGACUUAGUUUUAAUUUCCAUGCAUGGUUUUUUUUUUUUAAUUAGUUGAUGAAUAAAUAAGUACUCCUUUUUUUUUAAGUUAAUUUGUUGUAGUUCAUAUUUGAAGCUCCUCUCUUGUUUGAGAAGUUAACGGUGAUGAUCAUAACUCUUGAUUAAUUAAUUAAUUAAUUAUGAAGCACAAAAUCAAAAUUAAUAAGCCCUAGAGUAAUUAAAUUCCAAAAGGACUUUACUUUUUAAUUUGCAAAAUUAAGAAAUAUCAUUUAUUAUGGCAGCUAUUAUUUUCUAUUAUUAAAGAAGAGUAAUUAAACCUAAAUUUUUAGUUUAAGUUAUCAAUUUUGACGUCCACGUCUUAGAUCUAUUAAAAUAUCUCGAGUUUACGUAUGAGAAAAAUUAUUGAAUAUUAAAAAAAAAAGAUUAAUUAAUUGCGCAUGUUUUCCUAUAAAGCAAUAAAAUUUGUAUAUUAAUUUCUAUAAAAUUUUAUGUAUAUUCCUAUAUAAAGUUUUAGUUAUCAAAUACAUCUCUUUAAAAUUAGAUAAUUUGACAGUGUGACCUUCUCCGCUAACUGAAGGUUAAAGUUGACAUUUUUUCCUUUACAGCAAAUAAAUUAAAUAACGAUUUUACCCUAUUAUCUUUUUAAUUAUAUCUAAUAGUAUUUAUUAUUUUUAAGGGUAAACUUCAAAUACCAAUACUCCCGUGGUUUCGUAUUUUUUCACUUUAGUACUCUGUCGUUUAAAAUGUAUCAAUUUAGUAUCAUGUGAUUUUAUUUUUCUAUUUUCGUCACCUUCUCCGUUAUCAAAUAUUUAUUUUAGUAUCUUUUAGUUUUAACUUUGUCACUAAAGUAAUGAAAAAAUAUAAUGAGAAGGAUAAUGAAAAGAAAAAAUUAAAUAACAGAGUAUUAAAUUAAUGUAUUUUGAAUCACAUGAUACUAAAAUAAAAAUAUAUAUAACUGUAGAGAUGAUACUUGAAGUUUUUUUUUUACUUUAAAAUAGGAUGGUGUUCAACUUGGAGAGUAUCUAUGAUUGAACAAAACCCUAUAAUAUAUAAGUGGGGACAAAACAGUCCCUAUCAUGAAACUGUCUCAUCCAGCUGCGUCCGCAAACGAUGGACGGAUGUGAUGGUCCCACGUCACACAGAAUCGUCCUACCAAAUUUCUUCUUUUUUUUUUUCCAUAUAUGCCACGUUAUUCACUAGCUAUUAAGAUCCAUCCAGCAUAGGAAAAAAGCUUCGCCGGAGAGUUUCCUAUGUGCAAUAAUAUUCUGCAUUCAAUAAUAGGUUGAAUAUUUUUUAUUUCUCAAAUUUUUUAAAAUAAUUGAAUAUUAGAUAAAAAAAUUAUGAAGGUUAAAUAAAGAUGAAAGUGACAUGAGCCCUACGAUUCGAAUCCUAGUUGAUUCAAAUUUUCAGCUAAGUUUAUUUCUUAAUGAAAUAAAACGAAGCGGAUAGUGGCGUGCUACCUAUCUCUCUUAAAAAAAAAAAAAAAAAAGUGACACGAGGCGACGAAUUAUGACUCUUAGGGCUUGUUUGAUUCAUCCAUUUUGGGUAUGGAAUGGAAAUCAGUUUGAUCAAAUUCGGUUAAUUUUGUUUGGUUCGCAUGAAUCGGUUUGGGAUUCCUACUCCGGACUGGAAUGGGAAUGGCUCAUUAGCCUUCAACUUGAUUCCGGUCUUCUAGCCCGGAUUGAGAUUUCAUCCAGAAGCCCACUAAGUUCUCGAAGCUCAUGUGACCAGCUCACCCUCCUUCUCUUCACCCCUUUCUCAUCAAAAAAAAAAAAAAAAAACCUAUCAUCUCUCAAAACCCUAGCCCUAACCCACAUCAAUAAAAAAUUUUAAAAAUAAAUUUGAUAUUUUUUUUGAAAAACUUAUUAGAGAAUAGUAUGAUAUUUUUCAUAAAUUUUAAAUAAUAUAAAUUUAUAUUUGAGAGUAAAAUUAGUAUUAUAGUAUCCUAUAAUUUUUUUAGUUUAUACGAAUCAAACAAUAAAAUGUGAAUAACUCAUUCCAAUUCCCAAUCCACAAAUAAACCAAACGUCUUGGGGGAGUGGGCCAUUUCAAUUACCAUUCCAAUUCAUUCCCAUUCCAUAAUCCAUUCCACUUCCACCCUUGAACCAAACAAGCCCUUAAUGUGGUACUAGUGAAGUUAUCCGCGCAUUACAGUAGAAUAAUGCUAUAGAAGACAAAAUAUAAACAAAAUAAAAUUUUAAAAUUCUUUUACUUAAAUGAGACUUCAAUAAAUACAAAUAGAAGAUGUAUAACAAUGUAGGUAUAAAUGUAGCAAUAUUUAUAAUUUUAGUAAAUAAAUUACGUAUAACAAUAAUAAAAAAAGCAACAAAAGAGUUUCUAUCCCAUACAUACCUUGAUCGCAUUGUCGACAUUUGGGAGGCAAAUCCCGAUUUUUACGUUGCCUUCGCCGCUAAUAUCGAGCUCCUUCUUAGUAACGAUCAUGUAUAUCUCGUACAGAUCCUAACUCCCACAUUCACUACUUCUUCUCCCUCACUGACUCCAAAUUCAUCGUUGCUUCCUCCUGCCAUGAUCUCCGAAACCUUAAUUUUAAUCGACACACAACUUUAAAAAAUAGAAAAAGAAUUAAAAUAAGUCACAAAACAUGAACCCCUCCUUAUGCGCCAAGAAAAAAAAAAGAAAAAAAGAAAACAAUACAAGAAAAAAAAAAAGUAUAAAGAAAUCUUAUUUUACUCAUUUAUUUUUGUGAAAUUAAUUUAUUUAGAUGACUGACUAUGUAAACACAUUAAUUGAGGGGUGGGGGUUAGGAAGAUGAAGCAUUGGGUGGAGAUGGAAUCAUGUAAACAUAUUAAUUGAGAGAGGUAGGGAUUAGAAAAAUAAAGUAUUUGAUGGAGAUGGGACUAUAUAAACACAUUAAUUUAGAGGUGGGUUAGAAAGAUAAAGCAUUGGGUAGAGAUGAGAGUGGGAAGAUGGAAGACAAGGGUGAAAGAAGAUUCGGGAUGUGGUAAAAAUUUAGAAAAAAUAAUGUACAGGUAUAUAGAGAUAUAGAUAACGGCAAAUGAGAUCGAUCGAUGUACUCAUGAACCAGGUUUAUGGAAUUGUACGUUAUUUUCUGGUGCAUACAGCGCGUGCUUAGCUGUGUGGGCCCCACGUUAAACGUCCAAGCAUAUGCAUUUACGCCUUCUUUUUAUUUUUUUUAAGGGUAUAUUUUUAGUUUAUUAUUAUCUAAAUUUAGCUUAUUGCAUUGUUUUAUUUUGGAAAAACUUCAGACACCACCCCUGCAUAUUCAUACUUUUUCACUUUAGUAUCAUAUGUUUAAAAUGUAUCAAUUUAGUACCCUGUGAUUUCGUACUUUCUCACUUUAGUAUCUUGUGGUUUAAAGUGUAUCAAUUUAGUACCCUGUGGUUUUAUUUUUAUCUUUUCAUCAGCUCCUCUGUUAAUAUUUCGUUAAAUUAUAUACCAAAAACUCCAGAUACCCUAUCUAAGUUUAUUGAAUAUUUACCUCAGUAUCCUUUAAUUUUAACUUUGUCACUGAUUUUUUUGUUCUCUGUUAAAAUUUCGUUAAAUUAUAUACAAAAAAGUUCAGAUACCCUAUCUAGGUUUAUCGAAUAUUCACUUUAGUAUCCUUUAAUUUUAACUUUAUCACUGAUUUAACAAAAAAAAAAUAGUGAAAUGUAUAAUGAAAAAAGAAAAAUGAAACCACAAGGUACUAACUUGAUGCACUUUAAACCACUGGGUACUAAAGUGAGAAAGUGCGAAAUCAUAGGGACUAACUUGAUAUACUUUAAAUCACAGGAUGCUAAAGUGAGAAAGUGUGAAACCACAAGAGGGGUAUUUGAAGUUUACCCUUUCGUUUUACUUCUUAUUUUAAUCUACUUGUUUUGAACUUGCUUCUUGUGACAUGUAAUGUCGUGUACAGUUAGGAGUCUUUUGGUUUGAUGUAAGUAGAAAUACAGUGUAAUUGAAUAUGCAGCAGUUAUAGCUAUUUAUAUCACGUUUGGAUAAGUGCAGUUGAAAGUGCUGCAACUGUAAAUAAUUUCGAACAACAUAUUACAUUGGGAUUUAUUAGACUUGAUUUAAAAUCUGUAUGUUGUCUGAAUCUAUACUUGAUUUAACCUGAUUAAUUUAAGCUAUAUGUUUUUUUUAAAAAAUAACUAUAUAUAGUAAUUAAAAUCUACAUUCAUAUGUUUAAAGUAAAGGGUUAAUUCCAUACAGAUCCCUGCAAAUUUAGUGAAUUGCAAAUAUAUUCGUACAAAGUUUAAUUUUCAUAUACCGUCCCUACAAAUAUAGUCAUAAUGUUUUCAAAUAUAUCCGUAAUAUUUUUACCUCUCUUACAUUAUACCUACUCGUUUCAAUCAAAACCUUAAUAAUGAAAACUUUUCUUUCUCUUCCUGGUUAGUCAAUGGAAACCCGUAACUUGAAUUUCUCCAUUUCCAUUCAUCAACAAGGCGUGUUGCUUCGCCCAUAUCAAACUCGUAUUGUUUUUCCAUUCAUUUUUCAUUAUGAUUUUUUUCCUUUUUUUUUUUUUGCUCAAAAGAAAAGAUUUAGAAAAAAAAAAAAAGUGAGAAAAGAAGUUGCAACAAUGGGGAAUGGGUUAGAUUUUAAAAAGGAAGAAGAUGAGAAAAAAAGAUGAUCAUUGAAAAUUUUUUGAAGGAACAUUUCUGUACCAUUAUAGCUGUUGUCGUUUUUUGAGGGACAUAUUUAUGAUGACAAAAUUGUCAUUUCAUUUAUUUGCUAUUAAAAUAUAAACAGUUCUCUAUUAAUCCCAAAAUAAAGGUAACGUACUCAUAAAGACAUUUCAUUUUUUAUCAAUAUAAUUUAACUUUAUUAUUUAAAUUAUUACUCGAAUUUUUAUGUCCAAACCCAACCCA